CACUUGGUGGGGGACCUGAAGCUGGGCUGGGCAGCUCUUUGGGAUCAGUAGUCCAGUAAUAGGAUCAAGUGUGCCCAUCAGUGCCCAUGAGAAGGAACUCUGAAGGUAGGAGGAGCUCCAAGGCCCAGAGGAGAUGAGUGGCAUAGAAAUACUGUUGUUGUUGUUAAUAAUAAUAAUAAUGUUGUUUAGUCGUUUCUGACUCUUCGUGACCCCAUGGACCAGAGCACGCCAGGCACUCCUGUCUUCAUUAAUAAUAAUAAUAGCAUCACCUGUCACUGGUGCAUGUGGCUUGGCUCCCUGGCUUGACUUGUCCACAGAUGUUGUCAGCUUGGUAAGUCCUCAGCUGUGGUCCCCAGAUUAUAUUUACUGUUGUGAAUAACUGGUUGGUUACAAGUGCCCCCCACCCUCCUGCCCCAGACUGGUGCUAGCAUGGCUGGGAGCCAGGCACCUGCUGAUGUCUUCAUUUUCUUUGCAGGAAGGGAGCCUUCCCCCAACAUAUAUUUUGUUCUGGCCAAAUCCCUGGAAAGACGUGGUGACUCUCAGGUAGUGGGGCAGAGGGAAGGAAGGGGUCCUUCUGAAACAGCUUUUGGAGGGUCAUAGGAACCCUGUCCCCACCUGUGGCUUCCAGCAAGUGCUUUUCAGAAGCAUUGCUCUGGAAGCUGAGCAUAGCCAUCACUGCUACUUGCCUUGGAUGGGCCUCUCCUCCAUGAGAUUGUCUCACCCUCUUUGAAAGCCACCUCAUCCAAUAUGCUCUUGUGGGGCAUCUGAUUCUCCUAGGCUUCCAUAUUCCUGCAAGGAGGCAGAUCUUGCAAAAUCAGCAGUGGGAUCUUGUUCUCUCACCUUACAAAGUUCCACCUGGUUCGCUAUUGCAUAUGUACAUCAUUCCUUGACAAUUACAUAAAGCCUGCAACAUUGGAGCAUCUCACUUAUGUGCAUUUAGCUUUAUGUUCUUGGCCAAAAAACCCAAAGAAUCAAAAAGAGGACAGAAAGCAGGCAGGUGUCCAAGAAAAAAGACUUUGGCUAUCCCACCCAGCUCUGAACCCCAUGUGUUUUGCCCAUACAGUCUUACCUCAGGGUGAAGUAGCUUCGGGAUAAAUAUUUUGGGGGUUGCUCGCUGCGGUGACCUGGAAGUAACGGAGUGCGUUAGUUUCAGGUUUUGCCAUGUGCACAUGCACAGAUGGUCAAAAUGAUGUCACGUGCAUGUGCAGAAGCAGCGAAUCGCGACCGGCACAUGUGCAGAUGAGCGGACGCAAGUUGCAUUCGCUUCUGGAUGCGAACAGGGCUCCGGAACGGAUCCCGUCCACAUCCAGAGGUACCACUGUACGUGAUUCUGGUUGGAGGCACGAUCCCCAGAACAUAAUCCCCAUGAAAGUGGCAGGCUUCCUGUUGAGAGCAUCUACCACACCGGACAUUUCAAGGCCUUUUCUACCAUUUUCACAGUCUUGGCUUCCACCUAAUUCAGCCUAAGUUAUACUUAGUGUAGGUCCAUUGAAACUAAUGGUCCUUACUUAGUCAAGUUCAUUAAUUUUAAUAGGUUUACUGUUGGUAAAAUUUAGUUGACUUCUAUCUCAACAUUUCUAACCGCAGAUAAACAGUCUACUUUUGAUUUUUUACCCACGAAGCACUCAUUUCCCAUACUUUUACCAGAAAAUAGAUAGUAAAUCUUCUUUAUUGCUUAAAAAAAAAGAACACCACUAUUUAACUUAGAUUUGCUUCUAGCAAUCCUUAAUUACAUUCUUAUCAUUUCAAAUUAAUCUGGUAGCGUUUGCUAUGUGUCUAAGAGAUUCCUUCAAUAACCUUUCCCUAUGACUAAAGGGGUUGGGAAAAUAGAAUAUAAUCAGAUUGAUUUACUUUGAAGGCUUACAAAAACUUGUGCAGAACUCUAGCCUAACCAGCUAUAAAACCAGACAGACUAAGAUAAUUUUUAUGAUCAGUCAGCUAUGGUUUAAAUUAUGUAUUUGUCAAGUGACAGUGAUAGAAAAUUUGCAUGUGCUUAAAUAAAUGAACAUAUGCAAAUAAAUGGUGGUGGUCAACUGUUCUUUCCAAAAGAAAUAGAAGCCUAGACUCAAAGAGAAGAGAUCUCUCAAUACAUGGCCCAACGAGGGUGUGGCUCUUCUGAUCAUUGUUUUUCUGAGAGCUAUUACAUUUAUGCUAAUAAUAAACAUAUGGUAAACAGGACAGGCUCUGAAAUCAUGUCUAGAAUCCAGUUCUGCCAUCAACAGAAAGACAAUGCAGUAUGUGAUAUAACACACCAUUUUAUCUCUCCCACGAAAGCCUGUUCAAAUGAACUGGAUAUUUGUGGACCCAUAGGCUUGCCAUAUGUCAGGAAUAUUCCUGACAUGUUCUGGUUUUUGGGUUUAAAAUGAAUGAAUGAAUGAAUCUUUAUUUGCGUCAGCCAUCGGCCAUAGCAAUAAAACAACAAUACGAUGUACAAAGAGUAGAACUAAAAAGUCAAUUAUAUAAAUUACAUUUUAGGGUUUUGAAUCAAUAGUGAAAUGGUGGAUCUUAUUCUGAUUGCCCCAGCUAAAAACCUUGCACCCUUUGCUGUCACCUGCUCAUCUUGAUCUGCCAAGAGAAAGGACACUGUGGCAGUGGUUGGGCGACCCAGAAUGGACAAUAAAAGGGGGGGUGAUAAUCUCAAUCCUCAAGUCUUUAUAAAGAGUGCAAGCCAGAAAGGCAUGCGCCACCAAUUCAGUACUAUCAUCUCCACAGGGACAUAAGCGUUUUUCGUGUGGAACCUGUUGGAAUCGGGUGCAAAAAUGAUGUCGGGGGGGAUUUUGCCGAAUUGGCAAAAUGUCAGGGAAAACCCGGAUGUAUGACAACGUAAUGGAAAGCUCCAAAAGCUUAAACUCACUAUUUUGGGUUUGUUCCCCCAAAAAAACUCAACAAAUUUUGGUGGGUUUCUAAAAAAAAAAAGCUGAUGUCAGGAACUUUACUUUUUGAAAUAUGGUGACCCUAUGGAUCUAUUAUGUAUGCAAAGCUAUGUUAAAUUCCAUCAUGCUCUGAGAAUGCUAUGGGUACUGGACAAAGAAGUAACCAUAUAUGCAGCAUAUAGUAAGUUCUUGUAAGUAGCCACUCACUUUGCUUUUUCCAGUACAAUGAGCUACAGAUUCAAUUCUCCUAUGACUACACAUGUCUAUUUCCUUGGAGCCCUGUGUUUAGGAAAGUCAACUGCAAACAACUUGGAACUGAAUUUGUGUAUUUCAUAUUGGGGUGUAACUGCUAUCAUAAGCACUCUUAGAUUUUGUUUACAAAGGAAUUUUGUGCAUAUGUAGUAGGGCUGCAAAUGGGGCCCGAGAUUUGCCCUGCACUUGCCCUGUUUUUUGUUUUUAAAAAAGUCAGAUUGGUUUCUGAGUCGCUCUCUGCCCUGUGUUAUUUUUCUGUGAUUUGACUACUGAAGCAUUCUGUGUACAACAAAGCUCUGACCCAAUCACUCUUAUUUGUAAUAUUUCCCCUUUUGGGGCAGAAGCAGAUGAAAUUUGCAGGCACAAAGCCCUUCCAGAGUGUGUUAAAAUUGCAGGCCCAGGGGCUUUUGUGGAGGAAGUAAAACAAAUUCACUUUCCUCCAUCAUCCAUAUUAGGACAAUACUUUUAUCAGGCCAACAAAAACUUCAAAAUCCAUACUUUUUAAAUAUUUUUGAAGGAAGAAUAAGAGUUCAUCUCUUACUGUAAAACAAUUAAGUGAUGUGUAUUCUUGCUUGUACAUUGAGAAAAAGAAAUAGCAACUUCAGGUUAGCCAGUAUAGAUAUCUAGUGCUUGCUUUGUUGAGAGAGAAUAUUCUCCAUUUGGCAUUACAGGGUGAGACUGUGCUUAAUGCUGCCUGUGAAGAUUUGAAUUCAUUUAAAGUAGCUAGGUGUUCCCUUACUGCUUUUCCUGUAUUGGGCUACAUCUUCUUUCUUGCAUUGUUUAUUCCAUUGUCACUAGGUUGGGCACUUCUUUCAUUUUGAAUAAAGACAGAGGCAAAGCAGGUGUUGAGCAUUUCCACCUUUUCUCUGUCACCCAAGAGCAUUUCUCUGUCUUCCCCACGCUGAGGACUUAGUACUUGCUUGUUCUUCCUCUUGCUUUGAGCAUAAUCGAGGAAACCUUUUAUAUUAUUUUUAACUUCUCUUGCAAGCCUGAGAUCAUUCUGAGCCCACCUGACUGCCCCUCCUGCAGCUGUUGACUACUUCAUGAUUUCCCCUUACUUUCAUUCCUUAUACAUGUCCUACCUAAAGUUUAGCUUUAAGGGGGCUUUGGCUACUGAGCUGUAACUUAGGAGGGGGGAGAUAUCCUCAAAUACCCUUUUAUUCAGCCCCAAAACAGAGGCAAUGCACACUUCUAGUGGAUUCUUCCUGCCUACAGCUUCUCAAAUUAGCAGCACAUCAUUCGGAAGGAUAAGAAAAACCUCCUGUCCCUUUACUGAGUUUCUUUAAUCCAUGAGAGACUUUCCUUAAUUCAGAGAAUGUGUUUUUGCUCACCUUCCUGUUCCAUUCCAUGUCUCAUCCCAUAGGAAACUUUUCAGUAUUUGACUCCUGUGAAUAGUUAUGUUAUCAGCCCUAGCAAUUCAAGCAGGUAAUCUAAUAAGCACAGAUGUUGCCAUGUGAAAUCAGUUUUUACCUACCUCGACCAGAUGUAAUGUAUUCAUUAGUGCCUUUGGGUAAUGUAAUAUUGAUUUUUUUUUGGUAGUAUAGACUAUGAACUUCAAACUUGGAGUUUCUUAACAUUAAAAUACAAAAUUAAUUUAGCUAAGGCACAGGUGAUUACAUUGUACCAUUAAGAAUGCAGUUAAAUCACAUAUUUAUUGUUGCUUGACUUCCUCUUUUUUCUUCUUUUUAUUACCCAAGUCUCCAAUAUUAAAUCAUGGCGGUGAAUGGUUUUACUGACAUGGCAUUCAUUGGCACCGCUUUCAGAUCUAAAGAAACUGCAAGUUAACAACUGCUAAAAAUAAGUUAGUCCUACUUACAAUGCCAUGGACUUGAGAGGUCCUUAUUACUUUCAUACUGGUUUAGAGGUUGAUGUUGUUUUUCCUGAUAGGCAGAAAUUCAGGUUGUUGUUUUUGCUUCCAUUAAGCUAAAUGGUGGAGGCCUUAGCUUUGAAUUUCUUCCUCGCCAUAUAACUCUUAAAGGCAUAGGAAGCCUGCCAAACAAAAGAUGGCAACUUUCAUCUAUUAACCAGCUAGUGAAGAAUGGGAAACAAAUGUAAAAUAAAAUAAUAACGAUGUGUUCUUAUACAUGCUGCCCAAAACACAAUAUCCUGUCUCAGGCAGCCAGUGUGGUGUAGCUGGACCUGGAAGAACAGGAUUCAAAUCCCCACUCAGCCAUAAAAGUCAUUGGGUGACCUUGGGCCAGUCAAUCACUCUUAACCUAACGUCUCUCACAGGGUUGCUGUCAUGGGGAUUAAAUGAGGAAGGAGGAGAACUAUAUAAGGCAUCAUGAGUUAACUGAAGAAAUAGAUAAAUGAUCAGUCCGCUACUCACUUGGAAAUAAGCCCCAUUGAAUCCAGCAGUUACUUUUCUCAGAAGCAAGCGGCCAGGAAAAACCCUGCCAGUCUUGGUAUUUUGCCAGCACCAGUUGCAGCGAACCUCUUGGGAGUAGGAGAGGCUAAGACAUUUGUGGCCAAUUCACUACAGUGUUACCUCGGGUUACAUAUGCUUCAGGUUACAGACUCCGCUAACCCAGAAAUAGUACCUUGGGUUAAGAACUUUGCUUCAGGUAAAGGUAAAGGUACCCCUGCCCGUACGGGCCAGUCUUGCCAGACUCUAGGGUUGUGCGCUCAUCUCACUCUAUAGGCCGGGAGCGAGCGCUGUCCGCAGACACUUCCGGGUCACAUGGCCAGUGUGACAAGCUGCAUCUGGCGAGCCAGCGCAGCACACGGAAAUGCCGUUUACCUUCCCACUAGUAAGCGGUCCCUAUUUAUCUACUUGCACCCGGGGGUGCUUUCGAACUGCUAGGUUGGCAGGCGCUGGGACCGAACGACGGGAGCGCACCCCGCCGCGGGGAUUCGAACCGCCGACCAUGCGAUCGGCAAGUCCUAGGCGCUGAGGUUUUACCCACAGCGCCACCCGCGUCCCUUGAGAACAGAAAUCGUGCUCCAGCGGUGCGGUGGCAGCGGGAGGCCCCAUUAGCUAAAGCGGUGCUUCAGGUUAAGAACAGUUUCAGGUUAAGAACGGACCUCCAGAACGAAUUAAGUACUUAACCUGAGGUACCACUGUAUUUCCAUCACAUUGCUCUUUAAGAGCAGAAUCACUGUAGGACCAGGGUGAUACCCUUUAGUGUACAAUAGGUCUCAUUAUUAGAUUGCUCUGAGGGCUGUUCCUAGAUGGUCAUCUCAGAUAGCUCAGUCAGUAGAGCAUGAGGCUCUUAAUCUCAGGGCCAUGGGUUCAAACCCCACCUUGGGCAAAAUAUUCAUGCUUUGCAAGGGGUUGGGUUAGAUUACUUUUGUGGUCUCUUCCACCUCUACAAUUCUAUAGCUGAGAAAUGGCUGGGUUGACUCCAAGUGCUCCUAUUUUCCAGCCCAUCCCAACUUCUGAUUUGAUCGCUGAAUGUCCCACUUUUCCUUAAAGGUAAAGGUAAAGGGACCCCUGACCAUUAGGUCCAGUCGUGACCGACUCUGGGGUUGCGGUGCUCAUCUCGCUUUAUUGGCUGAGGGAGCCGGUGUACAGCUUCCGGGUCAUGUGGCCAGCAUGACAAAGCCACUUCUGGUGAACCAGAGCAGUGCAGGGAAAUUUCGUUUACCUACCCGCCGGAGCGGUACCUAUUUAUCUACUUGCACUUUGACAUGCUUUCAAACUGCUAGGUUGGCAGGAGCAGGGACUGAGCAACGGGAGCUCACCCCGUCGCGGGGAUUCGAACCUCCGACCUUCUGAUUGGCAAGUCCUAGGUUCUGUGGUUUAACCCACAGCGCCACCCGACAUCCCUAUUUUCACUGGAGAAAUGUUGGAGGCUAUGGAGUUAUCCAACCCCCCGAGCCAUCUGUAGGCAAUCUGUAUAGGGAGUUUUUUUAAACAAACAAACAAACAAACAAACAAACAAACAAACAAACAAUGUUUUAUUGUGUUCUUAUAUAUGUUGGAAGCUGCCCAGAGUGGCUGGGCCAACCCAGUAAGAUGUAUGGGGUAUAAAUAGCAAAAUUACCAUUGUGGAAUGGGACAUCCCUAUUUUCAUUGGAGUGACUGGCUAUGGCAGGGGUGGGGAACUUCAAGCCUACAGGCCUAAUGAGCCCCAUCAGGCCUUUCUAUUUGGCUUAAGAGGCCAUUUCAGCCAAGCUUUCGCCACCUGCCCUGCACCUGAUAAGUGCUGUAUGAUGCUAGAUGCAGCGCAGAUAAAGGCAGGGCUUGGGUGAAAGUUGCAUUUCAGGUACCACCAAUCAGUUGAUGGGUAGUUCCUGCAUCAACUUUUGAGCAGUGCGUCCCAGGCACCAACUACCAGUUGAUUGUUUGCACUUCAGAAGUAUACAUGCACAGCUUUCACUGUGCUGAGAAUCAGCUGGUUUUUGACACUGAGGAAGCCCUGUCCCCAGUGCUUCCCAAGCAUCGAUGAUCAACUGAAUUUGGGAACGCGGCAUCCUUUUUAAAUCAUACUGUUGGAUUUCAAACUAGAUGACCAGAAUUGGUCACGUGGCAACACCGCAGCAGCAGUAAUAGAUGGCCAACCCUGUAUCCUGUGUGUGUUGAGAUCUGGGAGUCUAGCACUCUCCAAUGCAGGCAUAGGCAAACUCGGCCCUCCAGAUGUUUUGGGACUACAACUCCCAUCAUCCCUGACCACUGGUCCAGUUAGCUAGCGAUGAUGGGAGUUGUAGUCCCAAAACAUCUGGAGGGCCGAAUUUGCCUAUGCUUGCUCCAGUGCUUUUGGGGAAGCUAAAUUUCAAGUGGCUUUUAGAUAUGCAAUGAAAUUCAGCUGCUGAGAUUUUCUAUUGCCUUUUUUUUGGUUUGGAUGAUGUAUUGUGUUUUAUAAACUUUUCUUUUUAAUUCAGAAGUUUCAAGAGGUUAUUUCAUUCUAUAGCGAGUGGCAUGUUCUUAUUUUAAUGUGUAAACUGCCUUGGAGGAUUUUUAAUUCACAAAGGUGGCAUGAAAAGUUUUAAAAUAAAUAAAAGCGCAACAAAUAGAAGGAUAGAUAAAUAUAACACAUUACGGGAGACAAUUAAAUGAAAUAAAGCACACUGCAACAGCAGCAGCGUAUAAACCAGAUGGCAGGCAAGUUGGGUCCAGAUUCACUGACAGCCUGUCUAAUUGAAAUGGACAUAUGGAUGGGAGAGAAAGGAAAUAAGGAACUGACAGGUAUGGUCAGGGACCAACACUGUAGCCUCACAAAGCCCUGGAAAGCUAGUCAGCUGGCAAGUUUGUCCUAAAGCCUAACGUGCAAUGACGCAUUCCAUUUCCCCAUGUUAGAAACAGCAUUUGCUGCCCUAAACCAUUUCAACAGACUAGGGGUUGUAUCCAGUGAGGGCACAGAGGGUGCUGCAGGCAAAAGGAGAGGAGAAUUCCAUUGUGCAAGUAGAGUCUGUUGCACAAAUGGAACAGCAGUGUUGAAUACAACUGUAGGGCUGCAAUUGAAUAACCCCAAAUUUCAUUGGAUUGAGCACAAUUUAGUUCUAAGUAAACAUGGAUGGCAUAGGAAAUGCAGAAUUGCAAUCCCAGUGCCAUUUUCUAGGAAAUUAGUCCUGUUUAACUCAACAGUGUUUACUUCUGAGUCAACAUGCAUAGAUUAUUUGACAUCAGGGCCCCUCCUGUAAAUAUUCUGUCAUCAAUCUGUCUGUGGGAGGAACUGUGAGUUUUUGUGAUAAACCAGACAUCUUAUGCAAGACUUGAAGAUAAAUCUCUACUUGUCAGGUUGGUAAUGGCUGAACAAGAAGCAAGCUCUUGGGCUUGCUGAUUGGAAGGUUGGCGGUUCGAAUCCUUGCAACAGGGUGAGCUCCCAUUGCUCUGUCCCAGCUUCUGCCCACCUAGCAGUUCAAAAGCACACCAGCGCAAGUAGAUAAAUAGGUACCGCUGCGACAGGAAGGUAAAUGCCAUUUCUGUGUGCUCUGGUUUCUGUCAUGGUCCUCCGUGCACCAGAAGCGGUUUAGUCACGCUGGCCACAGGAACCAAAAAGCUGUCUGUGGACAAACGCUGGCUCCCUUGGCCUGACGCAAGAUGAGCGCCACAACCCCCAUAGUUGCCUUUGACUGGACUUAACAGUCCAGGGGUCCUUUACCUUUCUAAACAGUCCAGGAGUCCUUUACCUUUCUAAACACCUUUUUAAAUGCCCCCCCGCUUGAGCCCAAGAGAGGGUUUAGUCCUUUUGCUUUCAAAACUCCUUCAUAACAGUACAUAAGUUAUUAAUCCAUAGCUUGGCUGUCCUCACAAACUCCUCCAGACCGUGCCUGGAGUCACCAUGCUCCCAUGUUCUCAGUCAAAGAAUCAACUAACAGAAUAGCCAGUCAACUCCUUUCCCCAUUACUGAGUAUUCUUUGUGAAAUACAUUUACAAUGCAAAUAUUAAUAGGAACCUCCCCAGCAUGGAGGUACUUUUCUCCUAGAUUUCAUCAGGGGGAGAGCAGAUGUUCCUGAGAAGAGGUUAAUCACUGCCACACUGUCAAAGCCAAGACACCACUAAUUAAUUGCCAAUGUGGUACCCUCCAGAUGUAGUGGAUUAGAACUCCCAUCAUCCCCAGUGAACAUUGCCAAUUUUCAGGAAUGAUGGGAGUUGUUGUCUAACAGCAUCUAGAAGGAACUGCAUUGGCCACCCCGGGAACAGAACAUGAGUAGGCAUCAAGCACAAGUUAAGAGAGUCUGUUCCAGUAUUCUAGGGUGGUAUAUCUAUAUGUAGUGAUUUGCUCUAAAUGUAAGAAACUUCAUUCGAACAUGCUAGAAAGCAUAAAUUGUAAAAAGGCAGGCUGGAACUAUGUUAAGUCAACAACAAUUAUGUGUCUGUUUCUUUAAAAAGAGUUAAUUUUGAGAGGACAUUAUGAGGAGGAAAAAUGGCCAUUGUGAAGGAUAUCAACCCACUCCCUUUCAAAUCGUAGUCAGUAUUUGCAAAUAUGUAAGUUUAUAGGUAAGACUACACUGCAAUGGAUUUUUAUUGAAACCAAUGAACGUUGAAUAAGUCAUAAAAAGAUUUAUUUUAGCUCUGACACUUUUAUAUAUCAUUUGGCCAUUCUGUUCACAGUGGAACACUCAUACCCAUGGCAGUGAAAGCACUUGAAAUACUUUAAAACAAAAUGAAGUAAGCUUUCUUUAUUAUCUAUUGAAAUGUUAUAUUUAAAUGCCGCACGUACACUUUUCUAGGAAAGAAAAGAAAUCACUCCCUCACUGUCCAGCUUCCCCAAAAGAAAAGAAAAAACACACCCAUGAAACAUCUGCCAGCGUUGUUGAAACAGAUGAACAUGCUUGUUCAAUCUGAUUGUACAAGUGUGACCUUUUCAUUGAGAGGUUGUUAAGAAAGUCUCGAGUAAAGUACUGUUUCCACCCCUUUCUACAUUCUCAUCUUUUUAGACAAUCCUUUUCAAUUAUAUGGUUGAAGAGGCAUGUUCCUGACAUUCUCUUUAUCUGAAUUCUCCUUAGCUGAGACCCCAAAGUUCCAAGUUUCCCAGUCUUGUUUUGGAAAGCAUUAAGAAUCCUCCAUUGAUCUGUUUAGUUCUAUUCAGGCUUUGUUACUCACCUUAUUAGAAUUGUGGGGGUGGGGAGCAGGGUAAAACUUCCUGCCCUUCUGUUGUUCCCUGAUGUCAUAAUGCAUAAGCUUGCUCCUCUAUUACUCUCAGCUCCCUCCACCUCAUCCGACAUUGUUCAGUGGGGACCACAACCAAGCCAUCACCUAUUCCCUUCAGAUUGGGAUACAUCAACUGCAGAGUACCUGGGGUACCCAACAGAGCAGGUAUUCAGACCUUGGGCAUCCUGGUCUUCUGUUAUGUCCCCAAAGAAUCAGCAUGAUUCUAUGAUACUUACAUUGUCAAAAUAUUGAUUCCUGUUCAUAGGUGGUUGGAGGGCAAGAGUGCUCAUAUGCGGCCAGAGUAUGGCUGCAUGGGCCAGUCACAAAAUCCCAUUAGCACUGGGUUUGCAAUAGUUCAGUAACUGAGCAGUUGUAAAAUACCUUUUUUCAACAUGGUUCAACCUUCGUCUCCUGAGGAGACUCCUCACCUGUUAAUGGUUUAUUAGGGUGGUAACCAUUUGGGGAUCUUGAAGGGCAAAUGCUGGCAUGCUUGGAUUUUGUGCUUUUCGGCAUUAUUGGCUGGAAGUGACCAUAGUUUGGUCGGAUAUUUUGCCCAGAAGGGUGUGGAGGGGAGAUGGUGACUCUAAAUGACAUAAUUAGGCAAGGGUGAAAGUGAAUGGGGAGAUCUGUAUCAACCUGCCUAGCAAUGAGGGCAACACUAUGCAUUAUCCUGAGAUGAAAUAUACAAGGACUGGUUCCCAUAAGCCGGGUGAAAUUCACUUGUCCAAUUGGAGCAAUGAUAUUUUCUUGGCAGCAUGACCUGCACAACUUUACUCAAGGCAGGUAGGGGGAGAGGGGCUAAGCUUUUCCUCUUCAGUGGCAGGUAAUGUGGGAAUCCAACAGGUAGAGUAAGGUUAGGAGAGCAAUAUAUAUAUAUAUAUAUAUAUAUAUAUAUAUAUAUAUAUAUAUAUAUAUAUAUAAAAUUUUUGCAUAUCAUUCCCAACUAUCAUAUGACAUAUUUUCUUACCUUAUACAAUAUUUUGGACUUUCAUCAACCACAUCUGAAGAUUUUUCAGUCUUUAUCACCUAGUCUACAUUUCUUAAUUUCCCUAUUACUUUUAAUCGUCCUUAACUAAUAACUCUCUUCAUAAUCUUCUUCUCUGCAAUAUUUCACAUAAUCCUCCUUACAAAACUUAUUGCAGUCCCACUAGCGUAAUCUGUUUAUUACCAUUGCUUUUCAAAUAGUUCAAAUAUUUACUCCAGUCCCUUGAGAAUCUCUGGUCCCGCAGGUUUCAGAUCCUUCCUGUCAUCUUGUCUAAUUCUACAUAGUCCAUUAAUUUCGUCUGCCAUUCUUCUUUCGUCGGUAAUUCUUCUUGUUUCCAUAGGAGAGCAUCCUUAGGCACCUUUAGAGGCAGAAAUCCUGAUGCUUCCUUCCAAUGUUGGGAGGCCUGUUGGCAUGGUAAGGAUCACCUGGGGGAACAGUAUUGUAGGAAAGGUCCUACAAGAUCAAGAAAGCCACCCUACUCACCCGAAUGAGUGGGGCUUAAGGGAGAGGGCAUAUCUCACUUGGAUUGGUAGUUGAUUAGUUACCUGCACAGAACCUCCCCUUGCAGACGUUGUUGUUUAGUCAUUUAGUCGUGUCCGACUCUUCAUGACCCCAUGGACCAGAGCACACCAGGCACUCCUGUCUUCCACAGCCUCCCGCAGUUUGGUCAAACUCAUGUUAGUAGCUUCGAGAACACUAUCCAACCAUAUUGUCCUCUGUCGUCCCCUUCUCCUUGUGCCCUCAAUCUUUCCCAACAUCAGGGGCUUUUCAUUUGUUUAUAAUUUGAAUAAAAUGUCCUUCAUUUUAACACACUUCACCUUGUGUCACAUCUUCUUAUUUCCAUGGUUACACUCGCAAUGCAACUAGUUUGCUUGCAGUUUAAUGAGAACAAUAUUGCAAAUGCUGAUUAACUUUGGAAAGUGUCCCAAAUUAUUUUUGCAUUCAUGCCCAUAAGGCCAGUUUGGUUAGAGUAGACAUUAUAGCUGUUACCUUAAGCUUUGUAUUAUUAGUGUGCAAAAAUAGUCUGCUCCUUUUUAUGUUUGUAAGCAAUAAUAUCACCUCAAGCAAACAUAGUGAUUUCAAUUAUCCUUAAGGCAAACUUUCAUGUUACAACUUAAUUAUGGCCUCAGUAGCAGCUUUUCAGCACCAUCUUCACAUUAGCAAAAUAUCUACUCUGUCCUAGUCCUAUUGUGCCAUUGCUACACCUUAUGCACAAGUCUCUAUUGGUACUUUUCCCCACAAUCAAAGAAUAAUGAAAAUAGUGAUGGGCAGUCAAUGUCUUUGCUCCUAGUUUGUAACUGAGCCAUUUAAAGCAUAUUCAUUUUGAGCAAUUUCACCAGAAAUACCAAAUUCUCUCUCUCUCUCUUUCUCUCUCUCUCUGUCUCUCUCUGUGUGUGUCCAAAGUUUGCAAGAUGUGUGGAUCCCAAAAUAUUUGAGUAGAUCUUUAGAAGCAGAGCAUAGACUAGAACCCUUUGGUUGGUUUCCAUGAUUAAUUGUCCCAUUGCCCUGCCCCAACAAUCUCUACAGAGAUUGCAGCCCUCUGUAGUUUUUAAAAAAUGUUUUUAAUGUUUAAUGUUUUGUUAUGUUUUUAUAUACCGUAUGCUGUGAGCUGCUCAGAGUGGCUGUGGCAACCCAGUCAUAUAGGUGGAGUACAAAUAAUAAAAUUAUUAUUAUUACAGAUUAUGGUGUUAUCAAAACGAUGACAGAACCUAAAGGUGCAUCAGACUUUAGCAUUCACAGUCUUUAAGAAAUGAACUCCAAAAAUAGGACCACAAAAGGGGAUCCUUCAAAUUGAAUAGAUGGACCUGAUUUGAAUCUAUUCCAUCAAUAUCUGGGCAAGGACAUUGCCUUGUGCUCAGGGUGUGGGGCGCUGUUUCCAAAUCCACAGCUCCAAAUGCUAUCUCAUUGCCUGAACUGUGACAAUGACCUCAGGGGGUGGGACAUACCAGCUCUGACGAGUCAAGAGGAGUAGUCAAUUGAUGCAGGUGCCAGGAACUAUUAGAGGACUAAGCAGUGAGCAAAGUGUAACCAUUUGUGUGGCGAGUUCCCGCCUCCCCCCUCAGAAAUAAAGACACAAGACGCCAGAGUUUAAGGUUAAUGGGUCAAAUUAGGCCCCAACUUAACUGAUUACAGGAAUUGAGCGGUAUUGGCUUAGGCAUUGGUCCUAUCAGCUAACCGGCUUCAGCCCGCUUGGUUGAAGACGGGCAAGGGUUAACCACCAGUAGGGGGAGUCCUGCUGAUGCACAUCAAGUAGGAGCUCCCCCGGGGUCACCGCUCGGGGGUGUGCCUUAGGCCCACACCUCCAUAGGCUUAGGACAAGGCCACGCCCCCCAGAAUCCUUUACCAGACUACCCUUCGAUUUGGGGGGAAGGUGAUGGCGCUUCCUUCCCCCCACCCUUGUUAUCUGCAUAACAACACCCCUACCAAUGCCUAACCACCAAUGCCCAGGAAGUUGUGACAUUUGCUACGAGGCAGGCAAAAAACCAAAUGGCUGGUGCCAAUUUGCCAAAUGGCAAAAAUUCCUACCAGGCCCCUUGACAGCGACCAACCAAAGUCCAUAGCAAUGUCAUAGAGCCUAACCUAACCGGUGGGUGGGAUGGGAAAACCCGAUCAGCUGGAGCACGGCAAGGAAAGAGUGAGAUCCUCGGCCGCGCUGGCGCUAAGUAGGGCGGGCCACGCCCCCUGGGCCAGCCGAUUGGCUGGCCAGGGGGAUAACGAGUUUGAGGAUUCCUCAGUAUCGCGGGGGCUGUACGCCAGCCCCCGCAUGCAUGGGGGAGGGGCGUGAAGCCCGCAACCCCACCUCCUCUCCCGCUCGGAAGUGGCUUUACUGACUUUAUUGAGGACAACCAUGCACGUCACUUUCCAAGCUUCCUCUUCAUCUGGAAUGUUUAAUUUUAUUGUGAGAGAAUGCAUUCUCGCAUUUCAAAGCACUAUUGUUCCGCAACAGAUGUUUAUGAAAAUCUUCUCUCUUGUAGUUACAUUGCAAAACAAUUAUAUCUGCGUGUAAAGGAAAAGCCUCGCUGCUAGGGAACUGUCAGUCACAGAGUAGGUUUUGUCUCACUGCAUUGAAGACUGAAAUGGCUGCACACUUUAAACAGGAUAGUUAGUUUGUUUAAUAUCAAUGGGCAUGUCUGGAUGCAACUGGAACCCUGAUGGAUCUCUCCCCAGGCAACUGCCAAUAGCCUAUAGCCCUGAUGGCUGCGCAUUGUUGUUGUUUAGUCGUUUAGUCGUGUCCGGCUCUUCGUGACCCCAUGGACCAGAGCACGCCAGGCACUCCUGUCUUCCACUGCCUCCCGCAGUUUGGUCAGACUCAUGCUGGUAGCUUCGAGAACACUGCCCAACCAUCUCGUCCUCUGUCGUCCCCUUCUCCUUGUGCCUUCCAUCUUUCCCAACAUCAGGGUCUUUUCCAGGGAGUCUUCUCUUCUCAUGAGGUGGCCAAAGUAUUGGAGCCUCAGCUUCAGGAUCUGUCCUUCCAGUGAGCACUCAGGGCUGAUUUCCUUCAGAAUGGAUAGGUUGGAUCUUCUUGCAGUCCACGGGACUCUCCAGAGUCUCCUCCAGCACCAUAAUUCAAAAGCAUCAAUUCUUCGGCGAUCAGCCUUCUUUAUGGUCCAGCUCCUACUUCCAUACAUCACUACUGGGAAAACCAUGGCUUUAACUAUACGGACCUUUGUUGGCAAGGUGAUGUCUCUGCUUUUUAAGAUGCUGUCUAGGUUUGCCAUCACCUUUCUCCCAAGGAGCAGGUGUCUUUUAAUUUCGUGACUGAUGUCACCAUCUGCAGUGAUCACGGAGCCCAAGAAAGUAAAAUCUCUCACUGCCUCCAUUUCUUCCCCUUCUAUUUGCCAUUACCUCCAAUAUUUGAGGAGUUUCACCUCUGAAUAUCAGCAGAUGGAAUCACAGGUGAGGUGAGUGCUGCUGUUUGUGCGCUCCUCAUUGGCGUCUAGUUGGUCACUGUGGGAACAGAAUGCUGAAUAAGUGAGCCUUUGGUCUGAUCUUAUGUUCACUGCAUGAUUCAUCCAAAUAUUUAUAUAUUAGCCCACCUAUUGCCAUGGCAAUUUGCUUUCCACAAUCCAGAAACAUUAUGUCUAGCAUUUUCCAUCCGGAGACUCUGUUUGAUGUGAAGGUCACUUGUGACCUUGAGAAAGGAGAUACUUUCCAAUUCUCAGAAAAUAGGAUACCGAUUACCAGUUGUACAUGCUGCAUUUCAGUUGCGUCGUAUUAAGAAUCUGUUAACCCUACUUCAAGUUAUUUCAAAAGAAAUUACCUUAAGUGCAUUCUCCCCUCUGCUCAGCUGGUCUCGUGGAAGCCGUAUAUUUCCUUCUCUAGAAAAUCGGUAUUUUGUCUUGAUUUAUAAGGCUUCGAUGUUAUCUCCUCAAAGGUAAUUUGAUUCCUGUCUAGCCACAAGGUGUAGUCGUUAAGAUCACUCUUUUUCAUAUCUGGCCUCUUAGCACAUUUCCACAAACCACCGUUCCUUCCAGCAUUGCCACUGCCUCAGCACAAUCAGAAUGAAAAAGAAAGAGAGAAAGAUGUAUUAGAAACCAUUCCUUUCCCCUGUCAUCCGGAUUAAGGCACAAAACAUAUUUUAAUGCUCACCGCCAGCAAAGGCACAGAGAUUGACUCAGCCUUUAAUUAGGGCUGCCUUGCAAAAGGAACCUUGCUAACACUCGGUGUAUUUUCACAAAAUAUGCUGCAUGUCCUGACCGUUAUAAGAAUGGAACAGUCUCUGGUUAUUAUUGUAGAAUAGAAUUGCGGUGAGUAAAUGAUCACACCAAAAUGACAGCCAUAAAACUUCAGCUGGAUGUUUUGACUAUUUACUAGACACUCAUCAUCGUAUUAUAUGUUGCAAACACAGGAUUGCCAAUACUGUGGUUGCGUUGUGACAUUGGCAGGGGAGAACUGGUGGUUAUGCCUUAUACUGGAAGUCAGACCAGUGACUUAUCUAGCUCAGAAUUGGCUAGACCAGACACCCAUAAACUGCUGCCAUCUUGAUGGUUUGGACUGCAGCUCUCAUUGGUCAUGUAUGCUUGAGCUUAUAAGCGUUGGAAUCAAACAACAUCUGGAGCAGUGUUUCCCAAACUUGGGUCUCCAGCUGUUUUUUACUACAGUUCCCAUCACCGCUGACCACUAGUACUGCUAGCUAGGGAUGGUGGGAGUUGUAGUCCAAAACAGCUGGAGAUCCAACUCCCAUUAUCCCUAGCUAGCAGGACCAGUGGUCAGGGAUGGUGGGAACUGUAGUCCAAAAACAGCUGGAGACCCAAGUUUGAUCUGGAGGGGACCAGAUCGGACAAGGCUGGUCUAUGAUGACUGGCAAUGGCUCUCCAGAUUUUCAGACAUGCAUAUUCCUUACACUACUUGGAACUGCCAGGAACUGAAGUUGGGAAUUUCUGAAUGCAAAGCAUGGUCUCUACCUCUAUACUCCUUCCUCUAAUUAAUGUGAAGCAUCUCUCCCUUGAUUCUCUGUUGCCAAUAACCACCAAUCCAUCACUACCACUUCCUCUUCAUUCAGACCUGUAGCUGAUUCUCUCCUAGAAUUCAAACAAUCCUCCUUCCCAUUGUAUUAUAUCUGGGCAAACCCAGGUUUGGUUUUUCCGAAGGUCACUGUAGUUUCUCUGUUAAAGCCACUUCCGACCUCGGGAGGAGGUGGUGUUGCAGGCUUCAUGCCCCCAACACGCCAGCGGGGGCUGGCUCUCAGCCUCCGUGCAAUUAGGGGAAUCCUUGACCGCAUCAUUCCCUGGCCAGCCAAUCGGCUGGCCCAGGGUGUGGGGCCUGCUCCAUAUAAGGCAGGCACAGCCAGGGAUCUCCCUCUUUGGCCACACUGACUCUCCGGUUUCCCACCCGCCCGCCCUCUAAGUUUCUCUUCCAACCUUGCUAUGGACCUCGGUUGGUCGCCGUUAAAGGGCCUGGUAGGAAUUUUUUCCACUUGGCAAAUUGGCACCAGCCAUUUGGUUUUUCGCCUACCUUGUAGCAAAUCGUCACAACUUCCUCGGUAUUGGUGGUUAGGCAUUGGUAAGGGAGGGUUAAGUGUAUGUGAGUGGGGGGGGGGAGAGGAAGCGCCAUCGCCUCCCCCCCCAGCAAAGGGUAGUCCGAUAAAGGACUCCGGGGGGCGUGGCCCCGUCCGAAGCCUAUGGAGGUGAGGGCCCAAGGCACGCCCCAAGUGGUGACCCCGGGGGAGUGCCUAGUUGAUUUGCAUCAGCAGGGCUCCCCCUGCUGGUGUUAACCCUUCCCAGUCUUCAAGCUAACAGGCUGAAGCCGGAUAGUUGGUUAGGACCAAUGCCUAAGCCAAUACCACUCAUCACCUGUAACCAAUAAAGUUGUGGCCUAAUUUUGCCCAUUAACCUAAAAUAACUGUGUCACGGGUCUUUAUUCCUACUGGGGGUAGGCGGGAACUCACCACACAAAGGGCAGCUAUCGUGUUCUCUCCAUAAGCACAACAGCUGAUCUCUCAACUCUAGGCUUACCUAAACCCCAGAGCUGCCUCAAAAAUAAUUUUUAAAAAGAUUAUCAAUAUUGGCCAUCCAUCAAUCAGUCCCCGCUGCAAUGCUUCCAAUAUUUACCGUAGAUGUUUAGUUUACCAGCAAACAGGGUUUCAUCCUCUAUCCCAACAACAGUGUUGUUCUGACACUUUUAAUAUUGGAAAUGACAAGAGUUUCUAUGUAAAGCUCUCUCGCAUUGCAACUGUACUUUAAUUUGUUUAACAAACAGUGUAAAUGUUGUUGUUGCUGUCAAGACUAAAGAAACUGUUGACCCAGAAAUAAAGAAGAAAAAAAAGGGGGGGGGAGAAAAGAAAGAAAAGCCAUAUGCUAAGAUGUAAGUUUUAUACAAGAGAAAUGUGCCAUAUGGCACUGGAUUUGCACCCCUGUCAAUGCCGCCUUGAAAGCAACCCAUGAAAUACGAUCAUUCAUAUCAUUGCUCCUGUCACUCCUAUUGGAAUCUGUGACAGCAAAGAAAGAAAAGUGACAAUGACGUGUAAUAAGGUUCUGUAGGACAAAAGAUACCUUAUACUACCAAGAGGAACGAACAACUGUAUUUAGAAGUCAAUUGCAGGUGGCAAUUAAGAGUGCAAAUGCUGUUUAUUAAUUGCCAUGUGCUCGUAAACAUGAUCUCUUUUCAGAAAAGAGUUGAUGACUCAUCGCUCACUUCCCUGGGUGUUCAAAGUGUUUAAAUACAAUGCGGCAGAUAAUUAUCAGCUUCCACCAAAUGUGCUUGUUAGUAGCACUGGAAUUAAUUUAGGUAUUAAUUAUGAAUGGUAUACCUUUGGGGAAAUGCAUCAAUCUAAACUAUAACACACCUGUCUUCAGGCACGUUGAUGCUGCAUCAAACUCUUUCGCAAAGGUUUGCCUUCCAAUAAUGCCAGCGCCUUGUAAAAGUAACCGUAAUCAUUGGGUGUUAACACAACAGUUCCUGCAGCAAACCUCCACAUUUAUAUAUUGCCCUAUCCCGUACGUUCAAGGCUCCUGGUAAUAUAUUUUCCUCUUCCUUAUUUUAUGCCUCCCUCUGAUAACUCCUUCCUACACAUGAUAGAUCUUUCUUUUUUAAGUGAUCUGAAGAUAAAUUGCGAACUAAAUGCCCUGCAUCUUAUUUGGAUUAACUUUUUGAGAAGGACGCCAGUUCUUUGUUGAAUUACACUAAGUGCAUCAGAAAACAUAAGAGCUUACAAUAUUGAAUCUGGAUCUUGUUAGUAUUUGUACUUCUACUGUAUUUAUUAGAAAUGGGAUCCUCCUUAAUGAGGGUCCUGGUUGUGCAUGGGCCCCUGAGACACCCCCCUGUUGGGUUGUAGGUGGGGGGGCAUGCCCCAGGCCUUGUCUGUGGGCCCCACAAUCAUGCCAGGCCGUUUGAGUCAAUCCGAUGCAGGUAACGUGAUGGGGGGCUUUAAAAGUGGCAGUGUGACAUAGCUGAGGCACUUGCUUUGCACUGCUGAACACCUGCUCUCCUGUCCCUAUUUGUUGGUGUUGCAGCUUUGGCCUUGCUUCGGAUAUUGGUUGGUCAGCCUGUUUUGGAACAGGGGCCAGGUAGGAAUUUUUUUUCCAUUUGGCAAAUUGGCACUGGCCACUUGGUUUUUGCCUACCCCCUUAGCAAUCAUCACAACUUUGUAAGGUUUGGCAGUUAGGCAUUGGCUUAGUGAGGUUUGUGGGAGGGGAGGUGCGGCCAUCACCUGCCCCUCCAUGAAUAAGGGUAUUCUGGUAAAGGAAUCUGGGGGUCCUGGAUCUCAUCCAAAGUCCGCUUGAGGAGCUAGGGCCAUGCCAGGACCACAGGAACCCUGGAGUGAGUAGUUGCUUUUCAUUGAUGUUGCUCCCUCGUUUGGUGUUUACUCUUCCAGACUACCUGCCAGAGAGGCAGGAGUCAGUUAUAGUCGGUUGCCAAUGCAUAAGCCAAUACCACUCACUUUGCUGUAAUCAAUAAAUCUGUGACCUAAAUUUUGCCCAAUAACUUAAACCAAAAUUACAUGUCAGUGUGAAGUUACUUACUUGAGGGAAGGGCUUGGGGCCCUCAGAGCGCAAAAUGUAUUUUGCAAAGAAUAAAUUGUAUUGGGGGAAAAGAAAACCCAUGCAACGUAAUGUAACAGCUGCAAAAUCUUCUGACUCCAAUCAAGGUCACAGAAAUGCUGAAUAUGUUACCUUUAAAAGUGAGUAUGUGUGUGUGUUAGGUCGUGAUAAAAGGGGUGGGAAUUAGAGAUUGGCUGGUUGUUGCACUGAGUUUUGCAGGCUCCACGAACAUGCUGCUCGGAGGAGCUGGUGAGGGCAGACAAGUUAUAAUUUAUGGACUGCUUCAAAGGAGUUUUAGAAGCAAGAAGACCCUCUCUUGGGCUCAAGAGAGUGAAAGACAUUGCAUUGGACUUUGUAUCUGCAAAACUGCUUUUAAUAGUUGCCAUCCUCCAAGGAAAGAGUCGUUUUAAAAGCCUUGUGUGAGGAGUCUAUUUCACGACUAGGGCUUCGAGGGUGAAACUGCUGCAUCAAUCUGUAUGACUCAGAAAAAAGAGAUCUGUUUCAGUUUCCCACAAUUUCCUGCCUUUGCUUAUGCAAGGUUAGGGGAGUCUCAAAAUGUGCCACUCCAAAUCUUUCUAUCUGGCCCUUGGGAGUUUCCCCAGGCCACGCCCCUCCCCAGCCACACCCACUUUCCCCAGGCCACACCCUUUACGAACUAUGCUUGACACCUUCCUUGAGUGUUUUUAGCUGGCUGGAGUGUGUCAUUGAACUCUGAUAAUGCCUCUUGCUCGUCCGGAUGAAGGAUAGAGAAGGGUGUCUGAGUGUGUGUAGAAACUAAUUGAAUGUACUAAGUUAGCAUUCACAUUCCUUUGGCUGCCCAUUUUUGCUUCCAGCCUCUCUUUCCACUAACAUCUGCUCCCUUGAAGAUAUUGUGGGUCUCAGGCUGAAACAGGGUUGCCCACCCAUGGCUUAGGCUUUUCAUCAUUAGGCAGAGUGAAGGUGGAUAUUGCGGGCAGCAUAUUUUGCCAAAUAUAUAUAUAUAUAUAUAUAUAUAUAUAUAUAUAUAUAUAUAUGCAUUCUUCAAAUGAAGAAUGAUAUAAUAAAUAAUCAUGAAUAAUAAUUUGGGAACUCCAAAUGUGUCAACCAUCCAUGAAUUUGGUCCUUCUGGUGUAUACCACUUCAAAUAAAAUGGAGAUAAUUCCUUUAGGAGUUUAGCAUCCUCACAAUAUCAUUAUUAUGCCUGACUUUAACUUUCUGUAUGUGUACAGAUUUCUGUUGCGGUUCAUUUCAAAGCUUUCAUGCUAAUGAUCUGUCUGAUUUAUUCCCCAGCUCAAAGUAUCUUUGCUUCACAAAUGGCAUUUUUGAAAAAUAAAUUCUAAUCCCAAUUGCUCACAAACUAUUCGAGAAGAAAGUUGCUUGUGUUCCUGUUCCGGAAGUCUAAUUGAAAUAAUAAAUAGUUCUGUUGUUGUUGUUUCUUUGUUUCUUUUUCUUUUCUUCUUUUUUUAAAAAACCUCUCUCCCUUUACCUCCUAGCCAGGAAAUAGAAGACAGUAGAUGUCCUCUUAUAAGAGCUUUAUAAGUAUCACAAAUUGCUGAUGAGAAAGAAAAAAAUGUGCAAUUAAAAACCCCCAAACAAAAUUGUGUUUCUCAGUCUAUGAAGCUCAGUAUACUUCUCUGCUUUCACAAUUAAAUUAAAGCCUUCUCUCACUGACUAAGAGUCUUCUAUCUUUAGUAAAAGCUCUCUUCAAACAUUCUGAUUCAAUACACAGUAAACGACACCCUGGGUGCUGUGGCUAGAGGAACAAACUCACUGGCUACAGUCAUAUCUCCAUCCCUAUAAGCUUCCCUGAGCUGGAGCUCCCUCACACAUACUAGAACCCUCAUUUUCCAUUAUUGUGAUUCUAUCAAAAUGCAUUGAAGCAUAUUGAAAUCUGGGUGUACACAAUGCAGAUUGUUGUUGUUGUUAUUUAGUCGUUUAGUCGUGUCUGACUCUUCGUGACCCCAUAGACCAGAGCACGCCAGGCACUCCUGUCUUCCACUGCCUCCCGCAGUUUGGUCAGACUCAUGUUUGUAGCUUCGAGAACACUGUCCAACCAGAUUAACAGAACACAAUUCUGGAUAAAAAUGUGCAAAGUUUAUAUGGACUUGAAAGAGUCAUCCAUCACCACGUCAAGAUUAAGAAAUACCACCCUGCCCCCUUUUGGAGAUCAACUGGUCCUCUUCUGUUUUAACGCUGAGACCAGGGUCUGCUCUGGAGGGAUUGGAUAUCUUUGAGGGCAAUGCUUUCUGUCAGAUGCCCCACUUGUGGGCUGAAGAGCCACAGUGCCCCUGCCCGUCACCAGUUGAGGUUCACUACAUGCAGAGACUUCCGGGUCAGCGCCAUUGGUGAAUGGCGGAGUUCCUCCGACCGGAGGAACGGGCUCCGUGGAAACUGGGUCUUCCCACCGCGGCGAAGGUGGGGACCCGCUAGAAAUCCCAGGCGGAGGAAGCCUGGGAACGUGGGGUUCGGCAGGGCACCAGAAGCUCCCCCCUACUCACGGGGAAUCCCAUCUAGGGGCUCCGGAGCGAAGUGGGGUGAGAAGCGCGGUGCUACGAACUGACUGCUACUUUCACGGAGUGAAGCCGCACAGCCAUUGCCAGAGAGCGCUGACUUUUCCUGUGGACAAUUGGACUUAAAACAAGUACCCGUGAGUAGAAACGGAAAAUUGGAUCAAGAAAUUGUUUAAUUUGGUAUCGAAGCGGGAAGGUGCAAACAGGAAGUCCGCCUUCCGCUUUUUGUAUAUAGACUAAAGCAAAAAUUUUGCAAGCUAAAGCCGGGAAGCUGUCAAAAAAGACUAAAUUUCCUUCAUUCAGAAUCACUGAAACCCCCCUUGGAAGCAGGAGAAAAGGGGGGGGGACUCUGUUUAAUCUUAGCAGGAGAGGGAGUGAAGAAGGAUAAGUUUCCACCGUCUCUAACCUGGGAACGGGGUGUCAGAGACAGAAACUGUUGGAGAGGUUCAUUGACUGUGAACGUAAUACUUUGACAGAUAGCUAAUGAAGAGAAACAAGUUGAUUCUAAUGUUGCCUUUUGCAUUUUAAAGAAACAAAAUACCUGAAAAACAUCUGAAAUAUUUGAAAAAUGAAAGUAACUUUCCUUUGUCUUAAAAAAAAAAUAUGGAUACAAAUAGAUUGUCUCCUCUAGAGGGAGCUUGCUAAAUUGUUGCUGUAGUAUAUUUGAGACCCAACAUCUGUGAGAUUAAGACCGUGGGAACAGUCUUUUCUGACCUUGAACAAAGAUGAGCUGGGAGGAAGACUGGGUGCUUGCUUUAUGCAAGACAAAUGCUUUGCUGGAACAGAUGCAUGAGAAGAUGGACUUGAUGAAUGAGAAAAUGGAUUUGACUGUUGUGGUUAAUAACUGUGGACAAACAGGGAACAUUGAUACAGAAAUCAUUCAGGAACCAAUCUAUGAAUCUGUACUGACUGGGCAAGUGCAGAUGACAAUGGAGGAGGAUGCGGCUGCACCUCAAAUAGUACAAAUGGAGAGACCCGAGGCCCUACAGGAGCAUAAGCCGCUGUUAUUGAAGAUUGAAGUUGGAGUGGGCCAAGGGAGUCUGGAGAUGAGGAGGUUCCUAGCUUUGGAGAGAUCUUGAAAUUUGAUUUUAAGUACAUUUUGGAUUAUAUCGAGGACUGUGGGGAGUGGGACUGUGGGGAAUGGGCGAGCUGGAUGAAGGGUGAUGGAGACAAUUUUGGCUUGGAAUCCCCCAGAGACCUACUGCUCAAUGAGAAAGGAAAGAAACUAAGACAGAGACCAACAAAAGACAAGGAAAAGGGCAAGCACAAACAAGAUGAAGAAGAAUUGCAGAAGGGACAUGGAAGAGACUUAAGGGCCUCGGACAUAAGGCUUCCAGGUUGAUGGACUAGAUGGAAUGGACAGUAAGGACUGACACGACCCGAGACCAGGAAGAAGAGACGCUGGAUGAUGAUUGGAAGAGAAUUUAUAAUGGGAAUUUUUUAUUUUAGAAUCAGCUUAAUGAAUAUUAGGGAAAAUGUGGGAAUGAAACUAUACGACUCUAGCAGAAAUGAUAUCAGGAGCUAUGUAUAUUUGAAAACUAAGAUUUAAGUCUUAAGGUACUUAGGGGUAAGAUAAGGUUAAAUAAAUUAAGGUAAUUUGAAUAACAGAAUAUGGGGAAAGAUGGAAAGGACUUGUUGAGUUAAUUAUUAGGUUAAAUUGUUAAAAUAAAUUUUAUAACAAAAAUUGAGAAAGAUGGAAAGAAUUUGCUGAAAUAAUUACUAAACUAGAAUACAAAAAGGGAGGUGUGAGGAGGUCAGUGAAACAAGCAAAUGGAAAUUAUGGAUAUGCAAUUUGGGAUUUGUGUUUUUUCCCCCCUUUUUUCUUCUUUUUUUACUUUCUUUUGCUGUAUUGUCGUAUUGGUCUUUAUAUUUUGUGCUUUUCUCUUUUUUUUUACUUUUUUCUUUCUUUUUGUAUUGUAGUGUUGUUUUUUGUUUUUUAUUUUUCUUGUAAUCCUGAAAUUAUCAAUAAAUAUUAUUUUUUUUAAAAAAAGAGGUUCACUACAUGCAAUGUGGUACAUCACAAUGUAGAGGAACCACUUAACUUGGAUAUCCUGAAUUCUUCAUCAACGAGCAGGUGAGCUAGUUGAUCAAUGAAUAUAUGCUCCGUGCCUGCACCAAAGCUUUCCAUCUGUAAUCAAGUUGCGUGUCGAGGUCUCCAAGCCACCCCUCAAAAUAAUUCACAAUUCACACAUAAUUUUUGUUUAAGGUUUUUGGCAUAAUUUUGGCCACAACUUUAUUAAAAUACAUAAUCUGUGAGUGGUUGCUUAGGCAUUGGUUAAGACUAUCUGUCCCCCCGCCUGGGAGAGAACUGACUUCCAAACUCCCUCGGAAGCCAGUGAAGGGAAAACAAUAUUGGGGAGCAGUUGAGCUGGGUCCCAGGCCCUCACUGCUCACCCAACCUGCUCCCUAGGGCUUGUUGGCCCUGGUCCCAUUUCAGGGAUUGGACGAAAUCGUGGCAAGCCCCUGGAUUCCUUUAACAGAAUUCCCUUCCACACCACCAUUGGAGGGGCAGGCCCAGCCUAUCCUGACCCCUCCUCCACCAAUUUUUAUAACCAAUGCCUAACCGCAACCUUACAAGUUGUGAUGAAUUGCUAAGUAGUAGGCAAAAACCAAAUGGCACCAGCCAAUCAGCCAAAUGGACAAAAUUCCUACUAGACCCCUGCCCCAACGGCAGACGACCCCAUGACAGGCAUAGCAAGGUAAACUCAGGGCGGGUGGGUGGGUGAUCCGAUGCACUCAGCGAAAGAGAAAGCAAAAGCUGAGUGCCCCAAUAUUUAAAGCCUUUGGUGCCACCCACCACAUUGCAACAUGCAAUUUGCCCCAGCAACCCAGCUAUCCAAUCGUUGCCCCAGGCCAGCUCACUUUACCUGCCUGGCAACAGAGGGUUGGCUUGGCAGACCCCACCGCAACACGUGCUCUCAUUUCAAGGACAACACGCUUUGUGGCCAAUUUUCCUCCAACACACAUCUCUGGGUAUUUAUUUGAUGUCUGCAUACCCCACCAUGGACUCACCAUUCCUGAGCCCACAAAACCUUCUCCCUGAGCCUAUUUUAUACCGUUCAAGCUAGAUGCAAGACAAAGGGAAAGCUCAGUCAAAGGUUUGCUUUAGCUUAUUAACCAGCAGCUUUUAUGUGCUGCAACUUGAGAUUCGUUGUACAUAAACUGCAAUGCCGCACUCAAGAGGACAUGCACACACAAAGUUGAUUGAAUGAUUGAUGGAUCCUGGGUCAUGUAAGUAGGGCAAGAUGAGUCUGGGGAUUUGGGGAAGUGUGUAAUACUUUAUGUUCCUGUCAAGAAACUCCAGAGCUUGAAAGUUGAAAGGCGUGGGCAGAAAGGCAGUGGAACAACAAUGGAAAGCCACAGGAUGUACUCAUCUCAGUGAGGGAAAUUAAGCAUUUAAUGUUUGGUUUAAUGAACUUAGGUGCAUUGUUUUGUCUUGUUUUAAGUAAGAGUAAAAAAAAUAAAAUUCUCACUUUUACUCAGAUUUGGAAACCAUUAUCUCAUUCCACAACAAGCUCUAAAUGAAAUUUGUUAAGUUUAUUGUACUAGUCAUGGAAAUUUAAUAAACUCUAUAGAAAAGUACAGGGACACGGGUGGCGCUAUGAGUUAAACCACAGAGCCUAGGACUUGCUGAUCAGAAGGUCAGCGGUUUGAAUCCCUGUGACAGGGUGAAUUCCCCUUGCUACGUCCCUGCUCCUGCCAACCUAGCAGUUUGAAAGCACGUCAAAGUGCAAGUAAAUAAAUAGGUACCGCUCUGGCGGGAAGGUAAAUGGCAUUUCUGUGCGCUGCUCUGGUUCUCCGGAAGCGGCUUAGUCAUGCUGGCCACAUGACCCGGAAGCUGUACGCCGGCUCCCUCAGCCAAUAAAGCGAGAUGAACACCGCAACCCCAGAGUCGGUCACGACUGGACCUAAUAGUCAGGGGUCCCUUUACCUUUUUUAGAAAAGUACUCAUCCGUUCCUCUAUUUAUUCUUUUCAACUUUAUCAUUCAGAAUUUGUAAACCAUUUAAUGGUAAAAGCCUCUACGUUGCUGACAUCAAAUAUGAAAUAUGUAUUAAAACUAUCAAUAGGAAGAAGAAAAACUACCUUACUGCCAAAGAAUCAGAGACCCAGGGCAACUCAUGGAGUUCACUAACUCCAUGACUGAAUGAGAACUGAAACACAGUUCUGUCCCAUCCCAGCACUUAAGUCUGGGUAUUUUGUAGAGUUGUAAGGAAAAAGGCAAUCUGACCCUAGGGAAACGAGGCAGAAUGACAGAACAACUCCUUCAACAUCUCCUUCUUCUCCUCCUUCUCUCUCCCUUUUCUUUUUUUUUGAUUUUUGGAGAGAAAACUCUCUUUAAAGCUCUCUCUGUUCUGAUUUCUUUUAAAGUCAAGCACCAGCACUAUGAUUUGGGUUAGAAAUCAAACAGGCAGCCACUGAAGUUAUUUCAAAAUGGAGGAAAUGGACUGUGCAAGUCAAAAUCUUGGCAGCUGCAUUCUGGUCUUAUUUAACCACUGGGGAUAGUGGUUCAUCGACCUGAACUUAGCCACCCCCACCUUCUAACCAGCCUGGAUGGUGGCUCUGGCUGUUACCUUGCUCAUCCUUAUGCUCUGUGUCGCAUUUAUAGAACUCAAUGGAGAGAAGAUUAUGGGGAUAAAACUAAGGUUAGAUGGCACUGCAUGAAAUGGGUUCUUUCUGAGCUUAUCGCUGGUUUCUCGCUCCUCCUACAAUUGACCUCCCUGCCUUCUGCCAAUGGACAGCAGCUACUACUGAAUUUAAACUUCUGAAAUAACCAGAUUACUAGGCGGUAUCUUUUUUUGUAUGGGGGGGGGAACUUGAGAAAUGUUAAAUUAUGGCCCCCCAAAAAUUAGCUCCUCACGGCAGAGGAGUUGUUGUUUUGAAAGCAUUUGUGUGCAAUUAUUGUCAGUGUUUUCUACCUGAGCAGCAAAGCAGAAAAUCCUGUCACUUGUUAAUAAAUGUGAAUCAUGAUAGAGAGCCUUGGAACAAAAAGGUCAAAAGCCUACCCUUCAUUUGUGAUCCCAUACUUUGGAAUGUUUAUUGCUCUUAAACUCAGACGGUGGGCAAGCGGAACGGCUCAUUUGCAAAGGAAAAUACGAAACCAUACAAUGCACCUGUGUGAAUGGGUGAAGCUUUGUGAACCAGAACUGAAAGCAGGGUGAAAACAGAGCACUGUGGGUCUGGAGGCUUUGUGGUGAUAUUUUUAACAUUGGAACAGAUGACGUGCCCCAUGUAAAAGAAGUGCAAUGGGAUGAAAUAAUCUGUAGGAGUUGAAAAGUUCAGGUGUUCAAGGGUUAUAAGAAAAUACAUUUUCCCCAUUCCCAUGUUGCUAAUGUAGAUGCUUCACCUUUCUCUCCAUUUAGCGUACACAAAUGUCCUCGGUUUGCGAACUUAAUCUGUUCCAGUAGUCCUUUCUUAAACAGAAAUCGUUCUUAAACCAAGGCGUGCUUUCCCUAAAGAGGCCUCCUGCUGCUGGUGCCCUUCCACCAUUUGGAUUCCAUUCUUAGACCGAGAAUGGAUCGUUCAUAAACAGGGCUGUUCUUAAACUGAGGUACCACUGUAUACUGAAGGGCAGAUAUUCAAUGGAAGACCGAAGGAACUUUGGAAAACUCAAGAAGUAUCAAGAAUAUAAGCUGAAGUGAAACAAACUCUUGUUUAAAAGGUAAAGGGACCCCGACCAUUAGGUCCAGUCGCGGACGACUCUGGGGUUGCGGCGCUCAUCUAACUUUACUGAGGGAGCUGGUGCGCAGCUUCUGGGUCAUGUGGCCAGCAUGACUAACCAGAGCAGUGCAUGGAAACGCCAUUUACCUUCCCGCUGGAGAAGUACCUAUUUAUCUACUUGCACUUCGUGCUUUCAAACUGCUAGGUUGGCAGGAGAAGGGACCAAGCAACGGGAGCUCACCCCAUCGCGGGGAUUCGAACCGCCGACCUUCUAAUCGGCAAGUCCUAGGCUCUGUGGUUUAACCCACAGCACCACCUGCGCAGCAUGGCUAUGAGGAGUGUCUGAAAGACAUCAAAUGUUAAGAAGACAUAAAUGGUCUUCACAGGUUUCGUUAAUGCUUUGCCAAUGAUCCACUGUGAGUGUUUUCUCUUGGGAUAAUUUGCAACAUGGGUUUGAUCUAUCAAUCUCUCUUCAUUGGGAAUGGAAAUGUAGAGACCUCUGGGGCCUUUUCUCAGUUCAGGAACUCCACAGCUAGGGAAUAGGGAAGGAAUCUAAUUCAUUUCACAUUUAAUAGCAAAUCUAUCAAAUCUGCAGUUCCUGAAAGAAUAUGAGAAUUAAAACACAGGCAUCUUUGGAAAUGUGCACUUAUCUGAAUUUUGUGAUGCAGUUCUCCAGCCAAACUAUCUAUGCUGCAGGGAAUUGUGCCUGAAAAUAAGAUAUGGGUGAAAAUAACAUAGAAAAGGGCAGCAUAUCAGGGGAAAUUGCUUGCAAAAUGUGUACAUUAGUCAGAACUACAUUAAAAAUGUGUUUAUGGGGAGAAAUCCACAGUAAAAUGCUGAUGAAUUUCUUGAGCAUUUUUUUUUAAAAAAAAAUUAAAAAUAUGAUGCAGAAAUGCAGAGAACCAAAUUUAAGAGUGGAAAAAUGAGAAACGGAGAGAACCAAAAUUGACAGAUUUUCCCAGCUGUGUCCACACUCUCACCAGCUAUGUCUCCUCCACCCACUGGUGGAGCAACGGGAGCGGACUACCUCCAGCACCACUAUUCUGGUAGGGUGCCAUUGCGGCAGCCCCCCCAACAUGCGCCAUGCACCUCCCCCAUGCUCUGGGCACCACGCCCCCACAGGUGGCACACCACACCCCCUAGAAUGUGCACCACGCCCAGCAGGUGGCGUACCAUGCCCCCGCGGUGUGCACCACGCCCCUGGGGCAUGCGCCACACCCCUGGGGGCGCCAGCCAUGCCCCUGCCUGCUCUCUGCCUCUGGUAGCAGAGCAUGCAGCUUCGCCACUGCCUCCACCACCAGUCCGCCCCUAGAACAGUUAGGGAGCCUUCCUAGUCUCACAUGACCCCCCUCCAAGGUUUAAUUAGACCUGGCUCUUACACACUUACAUGCAAAAACAUUUAUAAGGUCGUUGGUUUCUUUUGCCUUGCUCACAUGCAAAGAAGGACAGGGUUCUUGCACCUUUCACAGUUCUGUUAUUGCUGCAGAGAAUAUAAUGGGAUGAGGCUUUUCAUGGGGUAUACAGUAGCCCUAUAUCAUAUAGAUGGGCUAAUAUGACGGGCUGAUUCUAACAACAUAAUUUGAUCAACUUUGUCACCCAACAUUCCCAUAAAAUGAAGUUCCAUGAAUCUUGGGUGCCGAAUCUUCAGCAAGCAGCCAGAACACAUAAAUAUCUCCAUGGUAUGAAUUCCAUUCUUUUAAGACUCUGGUUCACCUUUCCACUCUGUCAAUAAAACCCUGAUUUGUUUAAAAGUUGUCAAAAGCAUCUUAAUUACUUGCUCAUCCGUUUAUCACUGUAAGACACUGAGAGCCAGCGCCGAGGGCCUUCUGGUGGUUCCCUCAUUGCGAAAAGUGAGGUUACAGGGAACCAGACAGAGGGCCUUCUCGGUAGUGGUGCCCACCCUAUGGAACACUCUCCCUUCAGAUGGGAAGGAAAUAAGCAGCUAUCCUAUCUUUAAAAGACAUCUGAAGGCAGCCCUGUUCAGGGAAGUUUUAAAUAUUUAAUGCUGUACUGUUUUUAACAUUUGAUUGGGAGCCGCCCAGAGUGGCUGGGGAAACUCAGCCAGAUGGGCGGGGUAUAAAUAAUAAAUUGUUAUUAUUAUUAUUAUUAUUAUUAUUAUUAUUAUUAUUAUUAAAGUCUGGGUCUAUGAAGCUUACAGCUGAGGAGGAGGCUUGGAUUGGUAGCCUUUAACCCUAAGCAAAGGAAAUCUCACACUUCCCAAAAGUGGAAGGAGAAAUGAAAUGGACAAAGGGAAUUCAGAGUGGGCGAAAUGGUACCGAGAAAAGUGAAUUAUGUGAGAAGGCAAGAUGCUUCUGGUAUGUAUAUGCCGCCUAGUUUUGUUAUGGAAAUACAAUGAAACAUUGUGCAUAUUUAUGGUAAAUCAGUACUCGGAAUGGAUCCUAGUCCUGCUUAAUGAUAGUAAACACACAGUUGCAUUCUAAGUGUUCAAGGUAAAAAAGAAAGAAAGGAGAUGUCAUUUCAAGUGCCUAUUUAUUACACAUUCAUUGUUCGCAGUAAAUAGCAUCUGUGGUUAUUAUAUCAAUCUUAUCAUAAACGCCAGUAAUUUGUAGGCAGGCAGAAUAGCUCAAACUGUGUUUCGGCAGCUGUGGUGGUGAAGAAAGGGGACGAAACACCAUCCCGGUGCAUUAAAAUUGCAUCAAGCCUCUCUUCCAUUCAUGUUUUACACUUUCCCCCCAUUCAUUUCUUCGUGGGUUUCUUGUUGUUUUUACUGCUGUUGUUCACACGGACGACGUGGAGAAAUGAUUCAUUACAUGAGAGAAUGCGGCCAUCUGUUUACUUGAAGCAGGAGCACAGUGCACAGGUUUUGGAUAAGUUCCAGAACCGGACUCAACAUAAAAAAGAACGAGAUAGUCUCUUGGUGUAGGCAGUUGUUCGUUGUAAACAUAGUUUUAAGUGUUCUAAUUAUUACUGUCAGUUAAUCUUUUUUCCUGUCUAUGGAUUGUCUCGGGCACUGGCAUCUAGGCUUUGCUGCAUCCCACAUGAAAUCUGGACUUAGUCAUGGCAUAUGUUAAGGGGCCUCUUCCUUCAUGAAGCAGAAACUGAGGAGACGAGGGCUGGUCUAGCUAAGACUGUGUUAGCCCCUCGAUUCCAAAAUUGCUCCCUUCACUCCUUUGCCAACCCAUAUAUUGUGGAGCUCUUAUUUUCCCCUGCUUCAGAGUUUAUUACUGAAAGGAGUAUCUCUCCUGGUUUCAGAAUGGUAAACGCUCAGAACUUUAGUCAGAAAUGUCAUACUGAUUCAUAAUAUAAACAGUGGUUUUCAUUGCCGGGUAAUAAAUAUGAGCUAUAAAAACCUAAAUGAGAGUAACAGCGCCAUAAAUUAUCAGUAUGUUAUGUUAUAAAUGUGGAAUAGUCUUUGAAGUGUUUUUUAUUGCUGAGACACAGCGUAUACACUAAAAAAAAGGGCUUUUUGUUAACAGUACUAUAAAAUAGCAGCGGAAAGGAAUGGAAGCCCAAAGAAAGCUUUCUAGACAGAAAUAAGCAAGACCCCCUUUCUCACAGCCUUAUUGUACUGUGCUUAUGGGGUAGAGAGUGUGCUGAGGCAAAUUUUUACGUUAAAAAUUCUGAAAAUGUUCUUUUGCAGGUGGGACUUUGAAAGAGGACAAUUUUGCACACACACACAAACACACACACAAUUAUCUGAAUAUUCUCCAACAUCUGUGAGGUGGCUUCCAUUUUUCCUCUACAGUUCCAUGGGGAAAAGUUAUGUUUGCUGUUGCUACUAUUAGUUUGCAGAAAAACCACCCCCACUGAGGGAAAAAUACUUAAAAGUAUUGAUGCCACCACUGCUGAUUAUUAUGAGCUUCUCACAACAAACUGUUGGAGAGUUUCACCUCCUUCCCUUGAAGAAUAUUUGAAAAAAAUCCAAAUUUCACUGCCUAUGAAUAGGAUUGAAAUUCUCAUCCCUUUCAUUCUCCCCCCCCAAAAAAAGUAUCCCCCCCUUUGAUAAAAUAGGGACAGCUUUCUACUACUUUCUUAGAGUGGACAGAAAUCUCUUUGAAAUGCUCAGGGAAAGGGUUGAUUAUAAGUUUCCCAGAUAAUUAACAUUCAAAUAAAAUAUAAGGGGCUUUCCUCACUGAGAAAACUAUUAUAACUGGAAAGAACAGGUCUUGGGUUUAUUCUGAUGCUUAUUGUGAGUCUGUCUAAGAAGGCAAAUUCUAUUCUUUCUCUUGGUAUUGAAACUACCCAUGUGAUAUUGCAAUGUGCUUUUCAAAUUACUUUGGUGCUGUUUGACUAGCUCAAGCAAAAGUUGGAUGUAUGGAAUUAACUGCAUGGAUCUUUGGACUGAGGCAUUAAAAUAGCAUUUGCUGCCAUAAGCUUCACUGGCAGGAAAAUACUACUGCUGCUGCUGCUGCUGUUGUUGUUGUUGUUGUUUUAAAAAGUAUUAGCAUUUUAUUUGUCUUGCCAUUUUAUCACAUUUUAAGUUCUUUUACAGGUUUAACAAUAGAGAACUGUUAGUAUACUUUCUGAAAUAUAGUUUUGAUGAUGUUUCAAACUUCUUGGACAUAAAUGAGGUUGGGUUAGAGUACGGCUUUGCCACCUUUCUUAUGGGUUAAUCAUUUGGCAUGGCAUGCGCUUGUUCCUCGUUUCUUCCCCUCCCCCUAUUUUGAAUUAAAUUUGCAAUAGCUUUCUAUUAAUCCAAAAUUACAAAUCAUUUUUCUGCAUAUAAGGAAAAUAAAACAGAAUAUAAAAGUUACAGAUCUUGAGAGGAUAUGGUAAUAAUAACAACAAGUUUCACCAGUACAAGAAAGUAGGAUAGUCAAGUUAAAGCAGGUAAGUAAUUCUGAUUGCCAAUGCCCUCUUGAUCUCUGUCCCUGUGAUCUGGAAAUGCAUCAGUCCAUGGCCCAAAAUGACAAUGCAGUUUCUCUUCUCUGGGUCCAGGUGGCAUCUGAGCCAAGGCUCCUAGAAAAUAUUGCUGUUGAUGACCUGUUGAAAAGCUCUCUGUAGCUAUGAUUUUUAUAUAUUUGGUGAUGAUGAAUCAGAGGAAUGUGGGAAGUUGCCUUAUACUGAGACAACACAUUGUCCCAUUGUGUUCAGUGUUGUUCUGGAAGGUUUAUCACCUGAUCAGAUUAGAUCAAGAGACAAAGCUGUUGUGGGGUUGCCAUGGCACAUUCUGCAACUUGGCAACCAACCCAUGGGUCACAUUUUAACUUUGAUCUACGCAUUGACUCAUAGCUUAUAGACUAGGCACAUGAGAUGAUCUUAUAGCAUCACAGAGUUGGAAGGGAUUUUUUGGCACUUCCUGCAACUUGGUGGGCUGCAUCGAACCCAUGGAUCAUGGGUUAACCUUGGGCUACAUACUGAUUCAUAGCUUGUAGACUAGGCAUAGUGGAUGAUGAUCUUAUAGAAUCAUAGAGUUGGAAGGGAACCUGAUGAUCAUCUAAUCCAGGCAUAGGCAAACUUGACCCUCCAGAUGUUUUGGGAUUACAACUCCCAUCAUCCCUAGCUAACAGGACCAGUGGUCAGGGAUGAUGGGAGUUGUAGUCCCAAAACAGCUGGAGGGCCAAGUUUGGCUAUGCCUGAUCUAAUCCAACCUCCUGCAAUGCAGGAAUAUGCAGCUGUCAAUAAUAAUAAUAAUAAUACAUUAUUUAUAACCUGUCCAUCUGGCUGGGCUUCCUAGCCACUCUGGGCGGCUUCCAACAAAAUAUUAAAAUGCAGUAAUGCAUCAAACAUUAAAAGAUGUCUUCUAAAAGGCUGGUAGUUCUUGUUCUCUUUGACAUCUGGUGGGAGGGUGUUCCACAGGAUAGGUGCCAUUACCGAGAAGGCCCUCUGCCUGGUUCCCUGUAAUGUGGCUUCUUGCACUAAGGGAACCGCCAGCAGGCCCUCAGUGCUGGACCUCAGUGUCCGGGUAGAAUGAUGGGGGUGGAGAUGCUCCUUCAGAUAUACUGGACCGAGGCCAUUUAGGGCUUUAAAGGUCAGAACCAACACUUUGAAUUGUACUCGGAAAUGUACUGGGAGCCAAUGUAGGUAUUUCAAGACACGUGUUAUGUGGUCUCGGCGGCCGCUCCCAGUCACCAGUCUAGCUGCCGUAUUCUGGAUUAGCUGUAGUUUCCGGGUCACCUUCAAAGGUAGCCCCACAAAGAGCACAUUGCAGUAGUCCAAGUGGGAGAUAACCAUAGCAUGCACCACUCUGGCGAGACAGUCUGCAGGCAGAUAAGAGUCUCAGCCUGUGUACCAGAUGGAGCUGGUAGACAGCUGCCCUGGACACAGAAUUGACCUGCGCCUCCAUGGACAGCUGCGAGCCCAAAAUGACUCCCAGGCUGCGUACCUGGUCCUUCAGGGGCACAGUUACCCCAUUCAGGACCAGGAGGGCCGCUUCCUGUCCCCCCAAAACAGUACUUCUGUCUUGUCCUUACGAGGAUUGAACCUGAAACCUUGGUGUUAUCUAACCAACUGAGCUCUUUUGUGCCAACUGCUGUUGAGGGUCUCCAGAAGAGGUCCCUGAGAUGCAAAGGAAUGCACCUGGAACUUUUGCACACAAAGAAUGUGAGCCAUAUCACAUUCUCCAAAGGGAAGCUGCUGUACCCAUGACAUCUCCCUGCAGGACAUCUAGAAACCCAAGGCAGAAUGUUGAGAAGUUACCUGAGUGUGAAUGAUAACUAAUUUGUGGAUGAGGGGGGAAAGAACCUUGGCUAACAUUUACAAGGCAGCUGCCUGGCACUUCUGGAAUAUCUCUCAAGCCGUUUAAAGGUACGAUAAGGCAGCCUUAGCCAGUGCUGUGCUUGGCAGGGCAGUACUGGAAGCAAUUUGUAUUACUCCUCUCCUUUUCUCUCUUUGGCACAGUUUUGAUUUUAUAUGCAUUUCCCCCCCCAUUUCCACACUUUGUUAAACAAAGUCAUACUUGGAUGGGCAUUUUGGUUUUGAUUUACAUGUCAAAUGGUGCUGAUUCUGAGAGCCGGCAAUUAUAAUUUAAACACAGGCAAACAAUAACACACGUCUAAAUGUGUCACCUUUGAAUGGCUUCUGAAAGAUGCUUAGCACCCAUUCAAACUCUCAGAAACUAGCAAAAGCCCCCUAGAGUCACUUUAAUAAUUUCAGAAGGUAAGAAGAGGGUCAAAUAUGAUGUCUGCUCUCUCACAUGGAAAGUUAUCACAUCAACAGAGUGUUUGGGGUCAGUGAGUAUUGAAACCUGCAGUUUCAAGUGGAACAGACCUAGGAAGACUGUAAUGUGUGUGAAUGAAUCCAAGGUUCUUCUGAGAAGAAGAAAAAGAGUUUGGAUUUGAUAUCCCGCUUUAUCACUACCCUAAGGAGUCUCGAAGCAGCUAACAUUCUCCUUUCCCUUCCUCCCCCGCAACAAACACUCUGUGAGGUGAGCGAGGCUGAGAGACUUCAGAGAAGUGUGACUAGCCCAAGGUCACCCAGCAGCUGCAUGUGGAGGAGCGGGGAAGUGAACCCGGUUCACCAGAUUAUGAGUCCACCGCUCUUAACCACUACACCACACUGGCUCUCUGGAAGAGUCUUGUGGAUGGCUGGGACAACCAUGAAUGUAGACAUCCGUGACACCCCUUAAGGCCACCAAAUGCUGCCCCAAAACUAAUUAAUGAGCUGCCAUCACUUGAUGUUGCUGGUUGUGGUUCGGUAUCCUCUAUCAAAACAAAAACAAACUGUGGACCCCAAGAUGUGUGGUCAAAGCCAUCCACUUGAAUUUAAUAAAGAACUCUGCAGUUAUUUGGUUAUAAACUAUGCAGAAAAAAGUCUUUAAAAGUGAAUUCCACUAAGGAAAUCAGAAACUUAUAGAAUUUGAAAUAUGAAGAAAAGACAAAAUAAUCCUAAGGCAUUGCUAAGGUUGGUUUUGGUUUUUUGGUUUUUGCCUGGCUUCUUGAUUUGAGACAGGACACACCUAUUUUGUUGAGUUCCAGAGAAAACAAAAUUUAAAUUCCUAAGUGAUCUUUUAAAAAGUCCUAAUGGCUCUGAACAGUGGCAUAGCAUAGGUUGCCAGUGCCUGGGGUGGGGGCUCAUGUGUGCCAGGUGAGGGGGGGCUGCUAGCUCAGCUCUUACCGCCGACACUGCUGGAGAGAGCUUAUCCCCACUGGAGAAAAUCAGGGCUGUGCUAAGCCUCCUAGUUUACGACACCGUCCCCAAUUGUGCUCCCAGGGCAAUAGCCCCCUGGCACCCACAAUGCUAUGCUCCUGGCUCCGAGCUCUCUCAGGAAGUAGUACGAUAUAAUUUCCUUUUCAAAGAUAGGAAACUAAGCCAACAGAACUUACUCUUUCACUCACUCAGACCUUACUAUCCAAUCAAAUGCAAAUAAUGUGUUACCCAAUCCAUUUGAGCACUGGAAAGCAGGGUCAAUGGGAAUAGGAGAUUGCCCUCCAAUCUGUGAACAGGCAAAUUGAUGUCACCACUUUCUUUGUUACUACCCCUCGUAUAUAGGUAUAUAUACCUAAACCACAUGUAGAAGCUGGCCCAAGAGAAAGCUUCUGGUCACAAGGAGAGAAAUGUGAGUUUUUUGUGACCUUUCGAGAAAUGGGGGAUUUUCACAGAUGGUUCCAAACCUAGUACAGUGGUACCUCGGGUUACGAACUUAAUUUGUUCCGAAGGUCCGUUCUUAACCCAAAACCGUUCUUAACCUGAGGUGCGCUUUCGUUAAUGGGGCCUCCCACUUCUGCUGCGCCGCCAGUGCACGAUUUCCCUUCUCAUCUUGGGGCAAAGUUCUCAACCCAAGGUACUACUUCCGGGAUAGUGGAGUUUGUAACCCGAAGUGUUUGUAACCCGAAGCGUUUGUAACUAGAGGUACCACUAGAAUUAGCUAUGGUGAAUUCUCAUCUGCAGACCCCCUACCCUUCAGGAAAUUAGGCAAAGAACACAACCCCAAAGACAACUCUAUCUACUGCACCUUGUAAUGUGGACUUGAAACACUGCGAAGAAGUUUGUUUCAAUUCCCCAGCUCUUUUAAAACUAUAUUCUUGAAUCAGUAAAUUAUGAAAAGCCCGGUGUUGCAUCACUUUGGAGAACUUUCAUAAUGAACUGCUGAGUUGCAUAUGAUGGGAGGCCGAUAGCUGCUUUCUGAACCUGCUGAAGAGUUCAAAUAUAGUCUAGGGUAGGCUGGCAAAGGCAUGGAUGAUAACCGCAAGAUCUGAAGCUGUGCAAAACUGCUGCCCCGUUCUCGCAAGAAAGGGAUGAUGAACUGUGUUUGCAUGUCUGGAGGCUUUCAAAACUGCUGCUGCUUCCGCCUUUUCCUGAGAUCCAUGACAGGAUAUUAUCUGCAUCCUUCGCUGUGUGUAGGUAGUCAGAAAGCAGAAAUUUAUGAGGGGAUUGCUUCAUUCUGGAGACAUCUCUGUUUUUUUCCUGAGGACAUUUGGGUCAUUAUUAAUAAAGAUCUAUUAGACACAUUGAUUGCCACUGUCUGCUUUUGGCAGCUAGUUAGAUGAUCCUCCUUUCCCUCAUAAAUAGUGUUGCUUCGGGCCUCUGGUAUAAAUAAGCAACGGGCACAUUAUUUAGGAGUUGGCUUUGUUAAGCUGUGUCAUAUCUUAUUAAAAGCAAGUCCCAACAAAUGAAUGCUGAAGCCUCGGCACUGCCAAUGAGUCAAUGGCUAGUGCCAAUCACCGUCAAAGCAACCUAUGGGUCCUCAGCACAUCUUUCCUCAUCAGAGAACAGCUUGAUUGCUAUUCUUAUGAGAGCCACUUACUUCCCCUCCCCAUUUCCACUCCAGCUACAAUACGAAACCCCAUAGGUAUCUGCUACACCACAAAUGAAUGAUGGAUUAAUUCCCCUGCAGUAGAAAUAUCUUACAAAAAACGGGUUCCCCAGGCUUGUAUUGAACUUUCAGGCUACCAGUCUUGCUUUGUAGGGAUUCGCUGGAAAGACUUCACCAUGGCAUGAUAAGGUACGGUGUGCUGAGGGAAAGCCUAAUUAGAUUUGACAUUUUAAUUGGAGAAUGAUAAAUGUCCUUCACCAAACUUUCUUGAAACUGUUCACAGGUGACUGAUUAUGGAGUAGCAUUAAUCCACUGUAGCCUCUAGGUAUCCUGUGGAAAUCUUCUUAGCUACAAGCUAGAGAACAUAAAACUUUUUUCAUCUACUUUUUGCAUCAGCAUGGAAGGCACAAUUUUGUCCGCACUAUCGUUGCUACUUAACAUGAUGAUUAAAGUAGAUUUGUUCUCCACCAUACAAGGUCUUGUUAUAUCUUCCUUAUCUUAUAAGACCUACAGAGAAUCCUGUGCACAGGGUGUAGCAAUUUGUUCUCCCAGCCACCUAAUGCAUUGCCAAGCGCAAAGGAGAUUUGAACUAUGAUUCUCACAUCAAAAGCAAACCCUUUGCUUAUCCUAAUGCAUUACACUGAUGUCUGUACCACAGGGUGAUUUUUCAUACUUCAUCAGACUUGGAACUGAAAGGAACACAUAGUGGCUAAAGGUCUAUGGGGCACAGGGAGCUUGUACAGUGGUACCUUGGUUCUCAAACUUAAUCUGUUCCGGAAGUCCAUUCCAAAACCAAAGCGUUCCAAAAGCAAGGCACUCUUUCCCAUAGAAAGUAAUGCAAAACGGAUUAAUGUUGCUUUGGACUUUGGAAAAAUCAACCCCUAAAACAGCAAUUUAACAUGAAUUUUACUCUCUAACGAGACCAUUGAUCCAUAAAUGAAAGCAAUAAUCAAUGAAUUGUACUAUAAAAUAGAGAAGACAGUAUUGUAGAUGAUAAAAUUUGAAAUUAAUUGAUAGUCAUUGUUUGGAUAGGGUUUUUAUCCAUUUCCACAGUCACACAAUCAAUCAAUAGCUGAACUGGGUUCCAUAGUGUCACAUUUCGGAAGUCAACCAGAUAAAGUUUGGUGCUCUUUUUUUUUUUUUUUGCUAUUUAUUUUGGGUUUUGGUUUUUGAGGCUUUUUCGGUUAAUUUGUUUUGUUUUGUCUUGAGCAGACAAGACCAUUGUGGGGUCCAACAGUCAAGAAGGUGGUUUCUACAUGAGCUGUAAAGGAAUGUGAGAGAUUUGGUCAAAUCCAGCACAUUGGCCUGUUGUUGUCAUUUAGUCGUUUAGUUGUGUCCAACUCUUUGUGACCCCAUGGACCAAAGCACGCCAGGCACUCCUGUCUUCCACUGCCUCCCACAGUUUGGUCAAACUCAUGCUGGUAGCUUCGAGAACAGUGUCCAACCAUCUCGUCCUCUGUCGUCCCCUUCUCCUUGUGCCCUCCAUCUUUCCCAACAUCAGGGUCUUUUCCAGGGAGUCUUCUCUUCUCAUGAGGUGCCUCAGCUUCAGGAUCUGUCCUUCCAGUGAGCACUUAGGGUUGAUUUCCUUAAGAAUGGAUAGGUUUGAUCUUCUUGCAGUCCAUGGGACUCUCAAGAGUCUCCUCCAGCACCAUAAUUCAAAAGCAUCAAUUCUUCGGCGAUCAGCCUUCUUUAUGGUCCAGCUCUCACUUCCAUACAUCACUACUGGGAAAGCCAUAGCUUUAACUAUACGGACCUUUGUUGGCAAGGUGAUGUCUCUGCUUUUUAAGAUGCUUUUUAAGAUGUUUGUCAUUGCUUUUCCCCCAAGAAGCAGGCAUCUCAUAUCAGGAGGGUGCUGUCAUGGCUCCAACCCACCACACCUGGAAUAACAUCCUAGCAAGGGGGAGGCUUUGCCCCAUCCAUUAGCCAGAAAAGCAGUAGCCGCAGGGAGUUUGCAUUACUCCUCCCUGCCAGAAAGUACCUGUAUUGGAACAUAUUCUGGAAGAUCUUUGUAUUUUGAGGUUAGGAAUGGUGCACAGCAAUUUCCCUUUUAAUGCCCAAGCACAGUUAUAGUACUGUAGGCUUGUAGACUGAAAAACUAGUAGCAUUGUCAGAAAAUCUGCUGGCUAUGGGGGCAACCCUCUCCAAUUCUGUUAAAGAAUUUAACUGAGCAAAAGAAAAAAAGAAUCCAAUUGAGGCUGACAAUAGCAAUUAUCCUGUUUAUCAGUGAAGUGUGAAACAUGCCCAUAUUCAGAGGCCUUUGGUGUGAACUACAGUAUACAUACCAAUGCUUUAGAUAUUCAGAAACAUCACCAGUUGUUAGCCAGCUAAACUGCUUGAUGUAAAUUUUCAACAGAUAACACCCACUUCAGUUUAUAUAUAAAUUAUGAUACUCACAAAACCAGCUGACGUAGCCAAACACACACAUUUAUUUAUUUUAAAGCAUCUUUCAAGUGAAAUCAUGUUCUCCUCCAGAAACAAAAUUGUAAAAUAUGCGAAUGCUAUGUUUUAUUCAUUACUUUCUCGUAAUCCCCUUAUCAACAGCCUAAAAUAAUGAGAAAGCAGAUCUAUGAAAUACAAUAGACCAGUCUUAACCGAAGUAAAGAUAUUAUGUCGCCAUUGCUAAACAUUGCUAAAAUGACAAAUCAUCUGCUAUCUCCAGGAUGGAUUGCCGCUUUUUCUACAGGGUGUAUUGUGCCGAAAUGCCCCUUAGUCAUUUGCUAUUUUUAUCUUCUGUUCUCCACUCAGUGUUUUCUAAAGAAAACAAAACAGGCUUAACCUUCAUAAUCUAACAUUCUAACAGGAAAAAAGAGAAAACUGUUAACACAUACUACCUUUUCUAGCAGUACAGAAGGAAUGGGGAGAACACCUUUCUAGUUUUUGGUUAAUUGGCUUCUUCUUCAGGUUGGCAAAUGAUCAACACAGCAUAGUCUUCAUCAUGUUUACUCAGAAGUAAGUCCCACUGAGUUCACUAAAGUUUACACCCAGGCAAGCAAUGCAGCCAGAAUCUCCAGAAGGAAGCUGUCUCUUCAGAGAGGUCCUAGCAAUAAAUUAUUAUUAACUAUAAAUUAUCAUCAUCAUCACCACCAUCACUAUCAUCUAAUUUUAUAUAUAUAUAUAUAUAUAUAUUUCAUUACACCCUGAAAGGGUCUUGAGAUGACUGAUCACCAGUUAGGAACUGCACAAUAUAUGUGUACAAUUAUAUUGCAAUUUAUUUAUUCAUUGUCAACUGAAAAGGAAGCUCACUUUGUCUUCUUAUGGUAUUUUUAAAGACAUGAUUUUAUUUUUUUCUACAGCAGAAAAAGAGAAACAUGGCUUCUCAAGCUGGACCCUUUUUGGAAGAGAGGUUGCCUCUAUCAAGCCACAUGGUAAGAGUUACAGCCUCCCCCACACACACACACACUUUUGCAACACCCACCCAUCACCGGAUGCAGCCCCUGAAAUGUUCCCCACUGAAGAACUUGAUCUUCAGACUGAAAAUGGGUCCCCAGUCUUGAAUCUCUAAUCCCAUGCAGGUAAUCAAGAAACAUCAGUUUAGCAAAAGACCAACUAAGAUGGCACCCAUGCUAUUGUACAUAAUCGGGAUUACCGUCUGGUUAGGAUCCCAUUUUGGUUGAGCUAACUGGUGUUUCCAUGUGAGGGCAUACAACCACUUUCAUUUGUGCAACCCUGAAAGCUUCAAAUAGGGCUGCCAAUGACACCAGCAUAUGUCUCUCCACCUCACAGCAGCAAUGGUUCAUACUGCCAAUGCUGGAACAAGGUCUCAGCUAGGAAAGCAUUGUGCCAGUACCCCAUGGAACUCAACAAGUGUUGGUCCUGACCUUUAAAGCCUUUAAAGCCCUAAAUGGCAUCUCCACCCCUAUUGUUCAGCCCAGACACUGAAGUCCACUUGCAAGUUUCUCACUGCAAGAAGUGAAGUUGCAGGGAACCAGGCAGAGAGCCUUCUUGGUAGUGGCACCCACCCUGUGGAACACCCUCCCAUCAUAUAUCAAGGAGAUAAAGAACUACACAACUUUUAGAAGACAUCUGAAGCCAGCCCUGUAUCAGGAAGCUUUUAAUAUUUGAUGUUUUAUUAUGUUUUAAUAUGCUGGAAGUCACCCAGAGUGGCUGGGGAAAACCAGCAAGAUGGGUGGAAUAUUAUUAUUAUUAUUAUUAUUAUUAUUAUUAUUAUUAUGCAACCACACUGGGCCAAAGGGGAUGUGUGUGGAAUCAGUUUUACAAAGAGAAAUCUGCAGCCUGCUGCAAUCUACUUCUUCUGCUUGUGUUCAUUCCCGUAAUCUUAAAAAAACCACAACACACCACAUCUUCCCAAAUUUCAGUUUCAUUGCAUUAUUUAUGGUAGAAUAAUGAAUGCAAUGCAGUUAAACUCCUACCUACGGGAGGUUUGUUUUUUGUUUUUAAUACACAAACACUUUAUCUUUGUGUUUUUCAAAAACCAUCGGGUUAAGGGUGUGUAAGUGAACAUAAAAAUUGUUUGUCAGCAUUCAGCGAAUGCUAUGAUAUUAAUCUCACUUUAAUGUGGUAGUGUAAAUCGACCCUAACAAGCUGAUCCAGCUGUUAAAUACAAAUUGGCAUAUAAAUGCUUACUCAGAAACUAUAAGACUUUUUAUUAUUUUGACUAAUGACUACUAAUUUGGGGUACUUGUCCUCUUGACCUUCAUGUUAUAUAUCAACAUGCCAGUCCUGGUCCAGUGUUUUUUUCAAUAUUCAUACCAGUGACUCUGGUGUAUAUUAAGCUUAUAAAGAUCACCAGUCUCACACGGUGUUCUUGUUCCAUGCAUGGAAGGGCCACUGUGUGCCUGAAACAACUCUUGGUACAUUCACAAUACCCCGUGGAGUUCUGGGUAUGGUGCCAAUCUAACCAUCAGUGUCUCACCUUGGCUGGGGGAGCAUGGCCUGGUGAUAGGGUGAAUGGGAAAAGUUUCAAGGGACAAACAGAAACUCUUGGGGCACAUAUUUGACCCUAGGCCUGAGAUUCCUCACCCUGAGCCACCCUGAGCCAAGACCUUUGGAAUUGUAUCCAGGAAUGAUUCGAAGGUGGAUUCAGAUGAGACAAUGUGAUGCAUUCACUAUAAACCCAGACACAAGCUUUGAGCACCUGGUAAAUUUCCAAAUGUUUUUCAAAGUUAAGGCUUGGCCAAAUUGCCCACCUCAUUUCCCCCAAAGUAUUAUCCUCCUGGAAAAACAGGAGCUAACCCCCCUCCCGCUAGUUUCUUGAAGGAUGGGGAAAAUAUCUCAGGAACGUUCUGUUAAGUUGUGGGUGAACAUAUCAGACGACACAGCGAUUCUUCCAAAGCAGCUCUUUAUUUGUAAGCUGGAACAGAACUGAACUGAGGAGCUCAGUCAGCCUGCUUAUAUAGAGCUCCACUAGAAUGCAACAGUAAACAUUUUCUGUAACUAGCCAAUCACUGAACGUCACUUUCGAUCCUUCAUUUGCAUACAAACUAUCCAAUCACUGAACGUCACUUUCAAUCCUUCAUUUGCAUAACUAUCUAUAGUAUCCCCCUGCUGGCCCAGGGUGAGAACUUCAGUACAUAACACGUUCAGGAGGUUAGGCUGCCAUUUACCAUCCUGAAUGUGACUAGGAAGUGUGGCUGCAGGAAGCAGUGGCGAGAACCACAUUCCAUUUCCCAAAAUGCCUUGGGGUUGGUUUCAUGUGAGGUGGUGUGGUGUGGUGUGGUGUGGUGUCAUGCCCUGGCCUUCCAUGAAGCUGUGGAGAGAGUCUUGUAUCACUGUAAGUAGUGUGGGGCUGCUCCUCCUUUUUAAGACAAGGGUUGGAGAAUGGAAAGCCCUAGGCCACCUCAUAAGGCUAAGUAAAGCAAGGAGCAACAUCUUCCAGGAAAUGUUCAGAUAAUUUCUUCCCAACUGCCCUCCGUUCUUUUUUUCAGGAGGGUUUCAUUUUGCCCCUAGUAGCUCAACAAAUGGAUAAAAGGCCCCCUCUCAAAAUGAUCAGCAGAUGCCUCCAGUACUCUAACCAUUUGAUCAUGACAAUCAUGAACUAGGGAAGAUCUGCCUUUUCCUGGAAGAGUAGUAGCAGGAGCAGGUCUGCAGCAGUGCAAAAGCAACAUGUUUGCUAAGUAGCCAAGUCUCCGCUGAAAAAUAUAUAAUGGACAGUGAGAAUUGGGUCCAUACAUAGGAAAGAAAUACAGAUAGGUACAUUGACCCUGAAUCUGUUCUGUGCACAAGAGAGGUGUGAUGCAUGCAGUAACCAAAGAGGAGGAGGAGGAGGAGAAGAAGAGGAAGAAGAAGAAGAAGAAGAAGAAGAAGAAGAAGAAGAAGAAGGUAAGAAGGUGAUAAAGGACCCCUGGACAGUUAAGUCCAGUUGAAUUCAACUAUGGGGUGCAGCGCUCAUCUCACUUUCAGGCCAAGGGAGCCAGCGUUUUUCCGCAGACAGCUUUCCGGGUCAAAUGGCCAGCAUGCUUAAACCACUUCCGGCUCAAUGGGACACCGUGACGGAAGCCAGAGCGCACAGAAACGUACAAAUAAUAAUAUUUAUACCGUGCCCAUCUGACUGGGUUGCCCCGGCCCCUCUGGGCAGCUUCCAACACAUAUAAAAAUAUAAUAAAAUAUUACACAUUACAAAGUUUCCCUAUAAAGGGUUGCCUUCAGAUGUCCUCUAAAUCUCAGAAGGCUUAUAGGAACUUGCCACAGGUGGAAUGCAGUGUGAAUCCUGAGGAUCGUGGUGAACACUUUUAGUUAGGUGACCUAUACAUUUAUAAGCAAGGAUAUAAUUACUGUUAUUAGUAGCGUGCGAAGCAAUCUGGAAAAUGAUGUUCCAGAAAGUCUUGAUUGGGCUAAAACAGGUGGCUUCUGGGGCAAGUGACUAUCUAAACUAUUUAGCUUUGGGGAAGGGAACUACAAACUACUGACCACUUGUUAAGCGGAUAUAUUUACCAGCAAGUGGAUAUGUGAGUUCUUGUCAGGGUGAUUCUUAACCUUGCAGUGGUGCAAUUUAGCAAGAUAACAUGCAAAGAGUAGUAAUUAGAGCUUCUACCUGGAAAUAUCCUUCCCUGCUACCGAAUGAAAAUUGAAAUUUCUGUCCAGAGCCAUCAUUACAUCCUUGUUGUGGUAAAUCCAAGGCUUUGAAUCCAUUAACCUUUCAUUGUAUGGCGCUACCAUCCAGUGCUAAAGAUUAGCUACUGACACAUUUAUCAAAGGAUGAUAAAUGAGCUGUCCUUUUAGAUGUCUGAUUAUUUGACCUUUAUUCAGUUAAAAGCAAAAGGAGCUGACGAUGUUAAGUGGCUGCCAGUUUAGAAUGAAAUUGAAACCUAGGAAAUGAAUGCUUGGAAUUGUCUUCAGUGGUGUGAAGUUAGGCCAUCAAUUUAAGUUUAAAUUAAACAAAACAAAAUCAGAUGUAAACCGUUAUUUCAUUAAUGCGGUUGUUAUGGAGAAAAACAGAAGUGCCAUGUUAUUUUAGACGGCCUUUCUCUUUCGCAGAGAACCAAAUCCAUUAAUGUUCCUGACUAUCACUUGGCAAGUCCUGAGUUCUAAAAACAACCUUAGGAAGAAAGUAAUUCCCCUCCCUGCCAUUAUGCACUUAAUAAGAGCUGUCUGACGAGAGAAGCACAUGAAACCACAACAUAAUAGUUUGUAGUUUUUAAACAGAAUGGAAAAUGCUAGCUGGCUCCAUGCUUGAUGCAGUUAAACAUCUCGAACCAUAUUAUCCAUCUUGCUUUAAGACUUGAUCGCAUUUCUAUUGACUGAAUCAAUUUCAUACACUUUCAUGGCAAUGGCCAAGGUUAAUCCGAUUAAUAAAUAAGAAUAACACUUUAAUUCUGUUUAUAGAGAUGAAAACAUGUUGAAUAAAUAGUCAAUAAUUAUGAAAAGCCUGUAGGACCUUUAUUAUUAGCUAGAGAUAAUAACACAAAACACAGACCUCCCCCCCCAAAAAAAUCUAUGUAGCUUUUUUAUGUUAAAAUAAUUAUCUAUGUUCUCACCGUUCCAGAAGCAUGCUGUAAUAUGCCCAGAGGAAGGAAGGCAUGGCACUGAACUGAGAUCCAUGGAAAUUUGCAUAGCCAAUGCAAAUGUGCAGGUUUUCAUUAAGAUACAUCUAUUCCCUGCCUAGAUGAGUAUUUUAUCUAAAUGAACUACAGUGCAUACAGAAAUUCUAUCAAGUUUAAUUUAAAAUGCUAUUAUGAAACUGAUAUGCAGCAUUGUUGCUAACCCAGGUGGUUAGUUAAAGCAGAGUAUCUCUGCAUUAAGAUACCGGCUUUAUUCAGAAGGAAAGAAAAAAAUAAAUCAAAACCAGGAAAGAUAACAAGGCCCAAUUUCACUCUUCAUGAGACCCUUGGAUGCAACAUAGCUCAUGGAAUUGUUGACCACUACUCAUGGUUUGUUGGAC